UUGUGGUGGACCUUAUGGAAAAAUUCAAUAAAUAAUUAUAUAUAUAUAUAUAUAUAUAUAUAAAUAAUAGAUGUGACAAAAUAUAUGUUGUCACUUGUCAUGCAACUGGACAUGUCAUUUCCAGCAAUCUUGUACAACCAAAUUGGCCACACAAUGUCUAUUCCUCACUUUUCCUUUUAUCCUUUCUAUUGUGCCAUGGCCCCCCCUCCAUCUAAAUGUCAUCCAGUGUGGUUAUUGGCUUCUUAGGAUUCUAACAUUCCUCUCCAACUCCCCAAAUUAUCAAUUUUAAUACAUCAUCAUCAUUGACUCCGUUUUAAAGUAAUUUAAUAAAAAAUAUUUUUUUUUAUAUUUAAAUAUUAAAAACGUUUUCUAAAAUCACUCAAAUACACUAUUUUUUGUUUAUAAUUUUUUUUUUUUUUAAAAAAAAAAAUUACAACCCAUUUAUUAAAAAUGAUCUUAAAAGGAUAAAAGUGCUUUUAUCCUAAAAAUUGCAUUGUUUAUACCCUGUUUGUACUUUAGAAAGGUCAUGUGUUUGGUAUAUAUCGUGGUCAAAGGAAGUUUUAAAUUUUAUAUUUUUGAAUAAAAUUUUAUGCCAGCGAUAAAAAUGUAUUAAACAAAAAAACAUUUUUUUUGAAAAAAAUUACUCCUAAAUAAGUUCUAAAAUUGAGAUGAAGAUGCAAGUUAUACCUUUUAAAUUAAAUAGAUUUAUAAGCCAUUUGAAGGUGAUUUUAAGAAGGCAGAAGGGUUUUUAAUGUUUAUAAUUUAUUCAUUUAUUUUAGAAAUUAGGUAUAUGUCAAACUUUUAAAAAUCAUUUAAAAGGUAUAAAGAAUCAUAAUGAAUAAUUUCCUAUAAAAGGCAUUUUAAGUAGAAAUGUUUUUUCUAUAAAUAUUUGUAAGAGAGUUACCAAUCAAGUUGUUGUCAUCCUAUAAGUGAUUUUUUUUAAAGAAAAAUGUUUUAUAAAUAUCAUUAAAUAUUUUAUUUUUCAUUAAAAAACACUUUUUAAACUAAAUGUGUUUUUUAAAAACAUUCAAAUAGGCUUUAAUAGGUUAUUCUUUUUUUAAAAAAACUUUAACAAAAAUAUCAUUAAAGCAUUCUUUUUUAAUAUGUUUAAAUAUUUAUACUAUGUUUUGCUUUAGAAAAACACUAAGAAAAUUUUUAAAAUAUUGAGAAAAAUGAUUUCAUUUGGGUUUAUUUAAAAAAAUAAUAAUAAUAAUUAUGAUUAAAACUAGUUAAAAAAAAUCAUUUUUCAAAUUAUUUGGACUUAAUAUAUGAGUGAUUUUGAAAAUGAUUGAAAGCGCUUUCUAAUUCUCACAAAAUUUGAUGUUUCAAAUAAUCAUAGGAUAUAAUCAAUUGAAGUGAUUUUUAGAUAAUAAUUAGAGGAUGAUAGAUAAUUUUUUUUUCUUUUGUUAUAAUUUAUUCUCAAAUUAAGAGUGUUUCUGAAUGUUACUUUAAAAAUAUUUUAAAUUUUUUUAAUACUUGAAUGAUAAAAAAUUUCAAAUGUUAGAUAAAUUAAAAAAUUAUUUAUUAGAUAGAAUUUAAAACAUUUUUAAUGAAAGCGUUUUAAUUAAAAUAAUUUCUAAAUGGAUUUAAUAUUUAUAUAUAAAAAAUUAAAAUAAGUGAAAUAAAUUAUGAAUAAUAUAUAAAAAUUAUAUACUGAUUUCAUUUUUUUUAAUUUUUUUAAUUUACUCUCUAUUUAUUACUUCCUACUAUUCCUCAAAAUUUUCAAAAGCCUUGGUGACGUUCUUUAUUUUUUUCUGGGGCUGGGUGCGUAGUGGGGGUUUAUGAGCGGGAAUCUUUAUGGUCAUUUCAUGAUGGAAAGCCACUGUCAAGCUGCCGGCUUCUGCUUCCUCUGCCUUGUUGGUCCCCUAUUCUUUUCUCUUCAUGGUGAAGUUUUUGCUUUACCAUUACUACUCCCACUCUCUAUUAAGGGCACUGGUGACCCCAUUGCGUUGUCCCAGGGCAUGUAUCCAAGGAAAAAAUGCAAGAGAAAUAAAUAAAUAAAAAAUUAAAAAUAAAGAAAAUAAAUAUAUUAUACUCCAAAUUUAUUUAAUUUUAUUUUAACUAUUUAAUAUACAAAUUAUAUAAUUUAAAAAUAUAUAAAUGUGUAACUAAUUUCAAUUUUAUUUGAUUUAUUUUUUGUAUUUUUAUAAUCAAGCAUGGGAAAAAUAUUUUUCUUGAUAUUUUUUUAUUUCUUUAAUACUUUUUAGGAAUCAGAUAUAACUGAAAGGGUUUUUUGUAUGAGUAGCAUAAAUUUCAAAAAAAAAAAAACUUAUAAUAUUAAAAAUAAUUCUAAAAUUAUCAUGCCCUUAGAUUUCAAAUCAAACUCAUAAUUUUAAAAUAUAGAUUAAUGUAAACAUGAAUUUAUCUUUUCAAAAAAUGAAAGUCAUCAUUUUAAAUGUAAAAAAUUUUAAAGUAAAAAGAUGAAUUCAAUAUAAAAUGUCAAUUCAAAAUAGAGUUGAUUGUAAAAUAGUUAAUUCUUUUGAAAAUGUGGGGUUUAAUAUAAAAAUAAAGGUAUAAUAUUUUUAUAUUUAAUUUUUAGGCAACUAUUUUUAAUAGUAUUUUUAAAACAACAUUUUUUAAAUAAAAAAAAAAAAGGGAAACUAAUGGGUUCCCUUAAAAGCCCUUUUUAAAAUUAAAAAAGAAAUUGAAAAAAAGAAGAGAAGAUUCACAGUGCAUUAUUUGGGCUUAAAGUUAAAGCAACCCAUUAAUAAAAGCACCUUGUGGGGUUGGCAAGUGUCCCUAAGUUGAGUCCAAUGUGUAGGACAGUGCCCUAAUAGGAAAAAUAUGUUUGAAUUCCAAUAAUAAUACUAAUAAUAAUAAUAACAAUAAUGCUGCAUGUUCACCUGUGUUAAAUGAAAAAUAUCCAUUAUUGUGGAACAUGGAAGUGAAAAAAUAUUUUCUUUUUAAACAAUUUUUUUGUUACUCCCUAUUUUGCUAAAAAUAAAAGGCCCGCCAAACUGUUUUUUAAAGUAAUUUUUUAUUGUUAUCUAAAAUAAAUAAAAUUUAAAAAAAAAGGCGUUUGACAGCUAGAAAAUUUAAAUGGAUAUUUUGUAAGAUAUUUUCAAAUAAUAUUUUUUUAGUUUUUUAACUUAUUUUUUUAAUCAUUAUUUUAAAUAAUAAUUAUAAAAAUAAAAUAUUACAUAUAAAAAUUAUUUUUAUAAAAUAUUUUAAAUUUAUUUUUUAAAAAUAAAAUCCUAUUUUCAACUUUUUUUUCAUGUAAGGUAUUAUGUACUUAUUUACACUUCUUUUUUUUAAAUCCCAUUUUUAUAAUAAUUAUAAAAAAAAAAACAGUUUUGUGAAUGCCCCAUUCAAUGAUGCCACACUUCUAAUGAUGCCUUGCUAGACGCUUGAAUCACAUUUUCCUCCAAUGCAUAGAGACACCUCCCUUCUUAGUUCAUCUGGCUAGCACUUGCUGAAGUUGAUCCUUAAUGAUAGAACCAGUUGAUGAGAAUUCUAUAAAGCAUGGGUUAUUAGAGGUAAGUUGUCUAAUGGAUAACAAAUUUUUCUUAAUUUCUAAAACAACCAAUAAUUUUUUAAGUUUUAGAUUUCUAUAUUUAGUUUUUAGUCUAGCUUCACCAAUAUGUGAUAUUUCUUAAAGCUUCUCCAUUUCCAACAGAAAUUGCACCAUGUCCUUUAUAUGGAAUUACGUGGGACAUCUUACCUGGUCAUUUGUUACAUGGGUUGUUGCUCUCGAGUCCACAUAAAAAUCAGUAUCCUUAUCUUCUUCAUUUAGAAUCAUAGCAACCAAAGCUUGAGGAAUCUCUUCUUUUAUUUGUUUAGUGAAAAAAAUGAUUUUUAGAAAAAACUUGGAAUCGUCAUUUAUUUUUAUUUUAUUUUAAAGAAAAAAUAAAAUAAGAAAUAAAACCAUAAGUGUGACUCAUUAUUUGGAAAAUAAAGUUUAUGAAAAGUCAAAGUAGGAUUUGGGGUCAGGUUAAUUAUUAGAAGAUAUAACGAAAGACCGGAAGCACCUUCUAAGUCCUUAAAAAUAGAUCUCUAUUAAAUAAAGUUAGACAAAUAUGACAAUUAAUUAGGAGAUGAAUGAAUAUUAAAAUGAUCAUAAAUAAAAAACAAGUCAUAAUAACAAAUAAAUAAACAAAGUGAGAAUGAAAACAUACAUUGGUAGUAGGUAAUAAAACGCUAUCACGGAACAAUAUUAGUGCAUAAUAAUAAAUGUAAAAUAUUUCACACAAAAUCAAAUAAUAUUAAUCAUACAAUUCACUUGAAUUAUUUUUAAAAGAAAUAUUAUGAAUGUUGAGCCCACUAAAGUCCAAUUAAUUUUGCAUGAAUUAAUCCCACAAAUUUCAACUUUUUAUUUCAAAACAAUGUUCAAACUGAUCCUAAAAUUUUCGUCAUACAGUGAUAACCACCGUUAAUGUGUUUAAUUACCUUGUUAGCCAAUACCUUACGCGUUACAACAUCCAAAUGAGUUUUAAAAAAAAAAAAUUUAACGGUAAGGGCAUUUGUGGAAACAAGCCCUAAGCAGACGGGAAUCGCACAAGAGUGACACGUGUCCAAUUCAGACCAAAUAUGCGUCGGAUCACCAUAAGAAAAAGGAAGUAUAUAUAUACAUAUAGGACCGUGACAAUCUGUAAAAUUAGAAUUUCACCCCGUAUCCAGCUAACCAUAUAGAAUACAGUACGAAAGUUGAGAAUAUUAAUGAAAAAAGUAAAGGGAAAAAUAAGAGGCUAUAAAUGCAAAGAAAAAGACGCGUCACGUAGUGGGAUUAAAAACCGUGUCGGGGUUGGAUGGCGUCCGGUCCCCGCCCUUCCCGGACCCAAACAUUAAUAUACGCCCUUGGUUUCCCGACAUACGGUCCAUUUGCACCAUCAUUUCAACCUUUUUUUUUUUUUUUUUUAAUAAAUAAAAAAUUAAAAUUAGUUUGAAUUUUUAAUAAUAUUUUAUUUUGGAAGUACGAAAUAUUAUAAAAAUUUUAAUCAACAUAAUAAUUUAAUUUAUAUUUUUAAAAACUCUGAUAAAAUGAAUAUUUUUUACUUAAAUUUUAAAAGAUUUAAUUAACGUUUUAAAAAACAAAUCAUACUUUUUAUCAAACUAAUGAUCCAAUGUGUACUUACCAAUAAAGGAAAAGUUUUAUUCUUAAUUUUUAUAUUUUAAAAUAUUUUCAAUGUGUGAUUAUACUUUGAAAUAUUAUAGUUUUUCUCAAUCUAUUUGCUGGAGUGAGUUUAAAAGUUCGAAAAAAAAUACAAAUAAAGGAAAAAAAAAAUCAAAAAGUAAGGAAAAUAUGAAAAUUUUGAAGGAAAAAUUAUUAUAUUUAUUAUUGGUUUAGAUAUUUUUUUUUAAAUAAAAAAUAGUAAUAAGUUUCGUAUUAAACACAAAAAAAAAAUUAGAGUCUUAUAUUAAAAAUAUUAUAUUUUUAAAAACUAUUUAAAAAAUUGAAUAUAAAAAAAUUUACAACUUUAAAAUUUUUAAAAAAUAAUUUAUAUUUUUUUUACAAAAUAUUUUAAUUUUAUAUAGAAGUUUUUUUUUUCAAAACUUUCUUAAUUUUUAUUUAAGAAAAAUGAAGAGAAACAUCUUUUUGCAUUUUCUCAUAUAUAUAUAUAUAUAUAUACAUUUUUUUGUAAUAAUUGGGAUUUUCGUUUUCUUAUCAUGGCCCAUAUCUUUUAUUUUUUUUUUGGAUGUGGGGGAGAAUAUGCUUCAUUUCUUGGCAAUCGAAUGCUACUAAAAUACAGAAUUAGGAGUGUUUGUAUAAUUGAAUUCCAUGCAAACAAAAUAUAACAUAUUACAAAUUAAGAAUAUAAUACUAUGUUGGUAACCGCUUUAAAAAAUAAUUUUUAAAAAUGGUUUUUUAAAAUUGUAUGAUAUUUUAUAGAACAAAUGUCUAUAUGAAAACCAAAAAUAUUUUUAUAUUUAAUUAUUUUAUAUGUUUGUAUAAUUAUUUUUUAAAAUGAUAUUAAAAAAUAAUAAUAAAAAGUUUUCUAAAAAUAUACCGUUUUUAAUUUUUAAGAAUAUAAAAUAAAAAAUAAUUUAUGAUUAUGAAACAUAUUUUCUUGUUUUAAAAAAAAUAUAUAUAAAACUGUUUUAAAAAAUAAUUAUGAAACAAAUCCUAAUUUUUAUUUAUUUUUUACUAUUUUCUUUAAUUUAUAUAUUAAAUGAUUAAAAUAUUAAACAUUAAAUUUACUAAAUACAACCAUAACAACGAAACAUAGUUCAUAUUCAAUCUAUAAUAUAAAAUAAUAAUACUUUUGGUUAUUUUUUUAUUUUUAUAAUUUUAACACCAAAAACAUAAAUUAUUAACAACAUUUUCUAUGUUUUUAUUAUUUUAAAAAUAAGGAAUGAAGGGCACAAAAAGAGAUACUUCAUUCAUCACUUCAAUGAUUUUUUUCUUCUUUUCUUUCUAAUAAUUGAUAGUAAGAAAUGUAAACUUUGGUGUGCUAAUUUUCUUCUCCCUUUUUCGAAAAUUGCCCCUAAAAUUCAUGAAAAAUCCUUACCAAAUUUUGAUACAAUAUUGAUUAAAAUAAAUGAAAAAUGUUAGUUUAUUUGAUUUUUUAUUUAUAAAAUGGUAAAUAUCAUUUUUUAUCGUUUCCCAGAUGAGAAGAAAACUACCCUACCGAGGAAAAAUGGCACCAAUUAUUUUAUCUCGGGAAACAAACGGAAAGUAGAAUAAAAAUAUAAUAUAGUUCUCUCUAUAAAACACACACCUUCUCGCUCCCUCUCUCUCAAAAUUUGUAUAAUUAAACAGGCACCGAAGCAACGUUGCUUUCUCCUUACUUCAAAUGGCUGAGAAGUAAUAUGAGAGAGAAAGAGAGAUACAUAGAUAGAGGAAGACUCACAGGCAUUUAGAGUAAACAAUUCUAGAGAGAAGGACAAGAAGAGGAUUUGGGAGUUCUUUGAUAUCUGUUCUUCAUCUCUGCAACAAAUUUGGAUUGGAAUUGAGUCUGCAACUCUUGAACUUGGUUAGGGUUUUGGAGUGGGGUAGUUCUAGAACGGUGUUGGAGUUGAAUUAUAGUGAUUGACUUAAGUGGGUUUUGGGAGAAUUGAGGUGGGUUUGGUUUAGUUUUGGUUGGAGUGGUUCGAUAUAGAGCGAUUUGGACUUGUUAUGGAGCGAAUUGCAGGAACCGGAGGUAGAUCCGGGAGUACCGGAGGCGAGAAGGAGGAAAUCGGAGCUGAGUCGUUCCUAUUUGGCGAGGAAAUUCAAAGACUGAUGACUGGUCCGCCGGAGAAUGGAAGCUCCUUCACGGCACUCCUCGGACUUCCGGCGAAUCAAGCCAUGGAGCUCUUGCACUCGCAGGAAUCUGACACAGCUCCCGCCGAACUCUCCGGCGAGGCGUGGAGAGAUAACCAUAUGAAUCCUCACAAACUCUACUACUGUUCCCCGACAUUUCCGGCGAACACCACUCUCAUCGACCGCGCCGCGAGGUUCUCCGUCUUCGCCGCCGGCGAAAACUCGCCGGAAACUAGCUCAGUCCCGUCGAAUUCCUCGCACAAAGUUAAGAAUGAACCCACUGAUACAGACUCGAACCCUAAUUCAUUACCGCCGUUGAUCUCCAAUCCAACGGUUGAGAACAAGAAUCAGCGAUCAACGAAGCGAAAGGAGCGAGAGAAGAAGGUGGGUGCACUCCAAAUUAGGGUUUCUAGGGUUUCCAUUUUUGGUAAUCACCUUAAUUUCACUGAUUAAGACUUAAUCAACCCCAAUUUGUGAUAAAUUAGGCCAAAGGGUCGACGAAAAAGUGCAAAAACGCAUCGAAUGAGACCUCCGAAGAGGCCGAGAAGCUUCCGUACGUUCACGUUCGAGCUCGUCGCGGCCAAGCCACUGAUAGCCAUAGCUUAGCAGAAAGGGUAAUGCCUUAAUCAAUAUUAAUUAGUCUCUAAUGUAGUUUAUUUGUUGUUAAUUUUCAAUUAAUAUUGCUAUUGUUUUUCCAAAUUUUGAUAGGCUAGGAGAGAGAAGAUUAACGCCCGGAUGAAGCUUCUUCAAGAGCUGGUCCCUGGUUGUAAUAAGGUCAGUUUUCAUAUUUCUUUGUCUUGACUCUUGAGUUGCUUAAUUAAUUAUUAAAAUUGUAUGAUUAGGAUUUCAGAAUCUUUGAUUACGGAAAUGAGUGUGAUUAUUCCUUAAAAAGUGCAAUUGUGUCUUUGGAUUAGGCUUUUAAUAAUGGUUUUGUCAUUGUCACCCUUUACCCAAACCCAAAAGGGGUUUCCUUUUCCCUCAAGAAAAGUGUUGAAGUGGGUAAAGUGGCAAUAUCGUAAUUUCACCGAUUGCGAAACAAUUAUUUGUUAUUAUCAUUAUUUUUUUCAUUUCUUUCUUCCGAGGAGGUUUCUUGGAAAGGGUUGAUCUUGUCAUUUUGGAUGAACGGCUACAUUUUUUGUGGUUUGAUAAAUUAUUGCCCCAGGAAUUGUGUUCUGCAGCAUGGUUUGAGCUUCAUUUCAGAAAAGGAUAAAACUUAGUAGUAUUAGAAUUGGAUAUCAUGGAAUUAAAAUAAUUUUGAUUCAAAAUGACGAGAAUGCCCGUCAUGGGGAUACACAUGUAGUCGCCUUGUCAGUUGGGAUGCUUAUGGGUCCCUCCCCACCAGGGGAUGCUUUGAUCCUCUUUGUUUGGAUCGAGUGUGUUUGGCAAGCAUCUGGGUGGGUGCAUGGUACUGACAUUUAUUAUAAAUUAGGUAUCCAUCCCAAAUUGGAAGACUAAAAAAUGGAAGACCAGAAAACACUCCUUCAUACAAAUCCAUGUACCAGAGUCCCAGACCCAACUGCAUAUAGGCAUGAUGUGAUAGUCCGAAAACAAAUCAACUUAAUAGAGUACAAGCAUAAACCGGAUCUAUACCUACAUGAGAUUUCUUUUUUCAUAAUUGAAUGCUUUUGAGCAUUUCUUUUGUAACUUUUCCAUUAAUAAAAGGUGAAUCCAAAUCUGCUGAAAUUAAAUGAUCAAAACCAACAAUCACUUUCCUUUUUGGGAUCACCAAUCAUGUUGUUCUAAAGAUUGAAAAGUAGGCCUGUGGUUUAAUAGUUGGAAAUUAUCAAUAUUAAUUGUUGUCAGGUCUGGUUGAAUCAAAUAAUGGCACUUUGGUUCUCUUUGAUUGAUCAGAAUGUACAAUCUCCUUACAAUUAUUAAAGUUUAGUUUACACACAAUUCACAGCUGUAUUCCCUUUCGAAUUAAAUUUGGGAGAAGGCUAAUGGGGCCCCAUAUGUUCAAUUUUUCUUUGAAAACUGUUGUCUCAGCAAUUUUUGGGAAAAUUUGAUUCACUUGUGUUUCCAAAUUCUGAUUCAUCUGAAGUUGAAUGUGGCAGUUGAAUCCUUAUGUCCCUUUCACAACCCAGAGAUGGAUUAGAGCGCCUGUGAUAGCCUUGGACUUAAAUUUUCCUAUAUCUUUAUUUGUUAUUAUGUACAGGUUAGAAUUUUUGGAUCUUCCAUUUUCAAUCAUAAAAAAAUUAUAUUGCACAACUGGUAGUGUGAUCAAUCCUUAUCUGAUCCAAGAAACUGACACAUGGCAGCAUAAACCACCCCUUAUGUUCAUCUAAUCGGUUAAAAAAUAGUCAAAAAGCUGUUUUAGCCAGGUGCUCUCUUCAGAAUCAUUCAAUAAAACAUUUACUUGAAAUUUGCAUCUGAGUGAAAACAUCAAUGUUCUAUUUUCCUCCACUUUACUAGUGCUCUGUCUCUGACAAGGAGAGGUUUGCUGUCUCUCAGUGUUUUAGUGUCCCUAUUUUUGAAAGUUUCCAUACCUAACAAGAAAACUGCUUUGCAGAUUUCAGGUACAGCUUUAGUGCUGGAUGAAAUUAUCAGCCACGUACAAUCCCUACAACGCCAAGUAGAGGUCAGACUUGCUUAUCUGAGGCAUCUAAUUUAGAGUGUUAAAUUUGAACAGUUCUUGUCUACAAUAUUAUGGGAGAUGCAGAAUUUAAACUUUUCCAGGAACAAUUUUGUUAAUGAGGCUUUGUUUGUGUGAUGAGUCCUGAAGCACCUGGCCCCCACCUCUAACUAUUGAGGUUUGCCAACUGUUUUUUGGUGCCUCUCUAUAUGAUCUGAAUUCCAUCAUAAUGAUCUUUUUUUUUCUAUUUAUAUCAGUUUGAUGGGUUGCAUUAAUAUAUGGGUCUCAAUCCUCUUGGAUGCUAACUAAAGAUUUCUGAUGUGUUAAGUUUUACUUAUGUUACUUUUCCUAAUCUUAACAUGUUUGGGUUAUUGAAACAACAUUAUGAAAUCUAUUCGUUGUUAACCAACAAUGAAAAAGAAACAGAAAAAAGAAAAAAAAAAGAAAAAAAAAAACGACCCUAAGUAAAACUUGAUGAGCAUUGAGCAUUUGGCAAGCUUCAAGAUUUUUAAAACAUAUAUGAAUCUGUGUUACGUAUGUAUGUAUUAUCUUCACCCCUUGAUUUCAUUCUGGUUGGACUUUUCUUUGGUUACAGUUCUUAUCUAUGAGACUUGCGGCAGUAAACCCGAGAAUUGAUUUCAACCUUGACAGUUUAUUGGCUCCAGAAGUAAGCAUCGCAUAGCUCUCUUCUUACAUUGUUUCCUUAAUAAAUUAGAGAUACUAUACCUCAACCAGGCAGUGGGGGGUGGGUUGGUGUGUUGGGCGUUGGGGGUGGUUGAAUCAUAGGGCUCAAGAUGCAGCCCAGUUUGAGCCUGCAUCAAAUUUACUUUGAGAGGGCUCGUGAUAUCACGUUCUCAACAAGAACUUUGACCCUGGUGUAUAUUUUAUCAUAUUUUUAAUAAUUGCAGCGUGGAUAAGCUAAAUAGUGGAGUGGAAAAUAGAAGCUCUUGUAGUACUAGUGUGCUUUUCCUGACCCACACUCAAAAUCAAAGAACAGUUUUCCACCAUCAAUGUGGGCAGAGCAGAGGUCAGUCUUGGACCACCUAUGCCAUCUGUCCACAUUUAAUCUACAACUUUUUGUGAUUAGAUGUGAUCCAUCAAAACGGUUCCCAUAGCCUUAUGGAAUGGUGGGGCCUCCAUAAAGGCCAGCCCUUAUGUGUGGGAAUGGGCAUGGGUUAUCUACAAUUAACUUAUGCAGUUCAUGAGUUCCCAGUUGCAUCAUGCUGCACCAUUUUAAAGAGUAUUUUAUCAUUCAGUGAGGAGCAAGGAAGUGGUGCCACUGAACUUUAUUGUUCCAGAAUGGCCAAAUACUCUGUAUGUACUGUGGUAGUGUGCAAUAUGAUCAGUCAAAUGAAGCAUAAAGGCUAAUGGUAUAAGGAUCUGCAUUGCGAUCCAUGGAAUAUAUUGGGACUAAGAAUCGUUCUUCUUGGUAGCUACCCCCUGAGGUCCCAAAAUUUCCCUGGUUAAGAUAGAGUUAUGGUACUUUAUAACAGUAGUGAUGAACUAACCAGUGUAAUACGCUCUGUCCUAUUGAGUUACUACAUUUUUUUGAAAUUUGAUCUUCAUUUUACAUUAUUAAUCUUUUCCAUUAACCUUUUAAACUUUCAGAGUGGAUCUCUGGUCGACAGUAACUUCCCUAGCAUGGUCAUGCCACUGAUGUGGCCAGAUGUCCAAGCCAAUGAAAACAGACAACCUUAUCAACAGCUAUGGAAUGAUGACACACUUCACCAGCCAGUUUGGGGAAGGGAAGAGGACGACCCCCAUAAUUUCAUUGCUCCAGAGCACUCGCUUUUGAGUUAUGACUCCUCGGCAAAUUCAGGUAAAUUAGACUUUACUAUGUUCAGUCUACCACUACCAACUGCUCUUUUGCAUAACUGACCUAACCAGAAAUUAUUUCAUUAGCCCUCCAUGACAAGCUCGGCAACAUGCAAGUUUUAUUUUUUUCUUUUCCCUGCCAAAGACAUAAAUUCAUCGUUUAGAAUGGAGACCUGCAACUACAAGAAAGAACAGGAAAAAAAACUUGGAAUCGAUUGAUUAAAAAAAUAAUAAUUUCCUAGAAAAUUUUGAGUUCUCCCAACUUUUACUUUGUCUGUAUGUGGAAAACUAGAUUCAUGCUUGCGUGUUCCUGUCAGGGUAGACCAGAGAAAGGUGAUUCAAUUAUUGGAUCUAAAGACCUUCUCUAUCUUAUCAUCUUAGCAAACAACAUCAUUUUAAAUGGUACGGAAAGGGAAGCUGAAUGUAUUAAUUUCUUAGGUGAAUUGGAUUAUUAACUACCAAACAUUUUUGGUUAAAUUAUUGAAGGAAAGUACUCAUUUGGAUGAGUUUUCUGCUGUCUCCCAAGGUCUCAUUAACACCGAAAUUAACACAAACUUGUUACAUGUGGGCACAGGGUCUCUGCAGUCAAACCAGCUGAAAAUGGAGCUGUGAAGACAAAGGUGGAGCUGCAUUAGUAGCUAGUCGUGUAUAUACUACUAUAGUAUUUAGCAGUUAGCCGGGGAAGUUGAGGUGGGGUCUUCAACAUUCAUAUUGGGUUUCCACAUCUUCUAUUUGUGAGUCUGUUGGAAACCCAGAUUUCUCUUGGUAUGUUACUCUUGAGUAUAUAUAUAUUAUAAUAUAUAGAUAUAUCUCUAUAUAUUAAUACUAACUUAGAGGGUCAUUCAGUCUAAGACUUACAUCUCUGAGAUGAUUGAUUGAUGAUUCAUAUUGUAAAAACAUAGAACACUCUAUGCUUUAACUACUAUGGAAGUCAGCUUUUUUGUUCCUUUGUUUCCCUUCAAGACAGUCUGGAUUUCCUUUGAAAUGGAUAUCUGGGGAAUACAGGCCAUAAUUGUCUUCAGUUUAUUAUUCCUAUUUCAGAUAAGCGUGGAACCAAGUCGACAGCUCUUAACAGUUUUCUCUAAUUUCAUUUUAGUUCAUGAAAAGUUUAUGGGCAAUUCAAUGUGUAAAUGAGCUUUAUGACUCAAUGGUCUUGGAUGGAAAUCUCCAAGAGAGGAAAAAAAAACCAAAAAACCUUUUUGGGUAACUUUUUAAAAAUAAAGAGCUUGUCGUGUGAUGGUUGUUAUCUAUAAACAAUUUUUAAAAAUAAAAUGAGAUAAAAAAUAAUUUUUAGAGAAUAAGUAGGAGUUGUUUUUAUGGGUUUUUGAUUUUUUUUUAAAAUUAAAAAAUAAAAAAUAACUUUUAAAAAUAAGUUUUAGAAAGCAUGGUGAAACAGAUCGAAAUUUUGAGAACAACUUUCAAAAAUAAUUAUUAGUUAUUCUUAGAAAUAAAAAUUUAUAUGAAAAUUCAAAUAUAAAAAGAUUUAAGCUUAUUGUCUAUGGAAUUUUUUAAAAAUAUUUUAUAAAAAAAUAUCUGAAAAUAUCUUAAAUUUUUUCUGAAAAACAAUAUGUUUAAAAAAAAUUAUUUUUAGUUAAAAAAAUUGUGCGUUUUAUGAGAUAGAAUUUUAUUUUCUGUUCUGUAUAGAAUAGAAAUUUAUUUUUGACAUCAGUUUUCAAACAACCUUUGGGCCUUAGGCCCAAACUAGUCGGCUCAUGUUGGAAAAGGCCCAAGCUAGUCAGCUCAUGUUGGAAUGGGACCAUUGGGCUGGGCUUCGCACCGCAUCGAGAUUAUGACAUAUGAAUGCUUGUGAAUCCAGUUUUUGGUGAGGUGGGUGGAACCGAUGACUAAGGAGAACGAUGUUUUACCAACUCAUCUAAUCUAGUAAGUUCGCUUACAUCCACGUUUCCCCCACACUUUUAAAACAAAAUAAAUAAAAAUUCUUGGGUUUUGUAUUAAACUAUUUUUUAUUCUUUUAAUAAAAUUAGUGAAACACUUAUGAAAAAUAUGUUUAGCGUAAAACAGGAUUCAAUAAUAUAAUAAUUAAUUAGAUACCCAAUCAAAAUUUAAGAUUGAUACUAUUUUAAAUAUAUAUAUAUAUUUAAAGAUAUAAGAAUAUUUUAUGGGUUUUGAUUCACUGAUUUGAAAAAAAUUAUAAAAAAAUGAUAUUUUUUUAUAUCGGUUUUAUCUUCAUUCAUUUAAAAUAUAUAUAUUUUUCUCACAAUUCGGUUUGAGAUAAAAAAAAAAUUAAGAAAUUUUAAAAAUUAAAUAUAUAAUUAAAACUAAAAAUAUAAAAAUAAAAUAUUGACUUUUACUUCGUAAAAUCAUAUUAAUAAAAAAUAUAGAUUUAAAAAAUAGUUGACAAUACAAUGAGAGACAAUACUUUUAUUAUAAUUGUAUUUAAUUUUAAAAUAUUUUAGUUUUAAUUGUAUUUUUUAAUUUUUAAAAGUUUUUAUUGUAUUGUUGAUGCCAACUUAUGAAUUUUUCUAUUCAAUUUUAUUAAAAAAAAUUAGUGGAUUUAUAUAAUACAAAAUAUAAAAUCAUUAUUGAUUAAGAAAUUAUAAAUAUUUUAUUUAUUACUUGAGUAUCUUGAAAUUUUUUUCAAAAUGAUUUGUAUAUCAUAUUAUAUAAUAAAAAUAUAUUUAUUUGUAAGUACUUUUAUCAAAUAAAAAUGAUAAAUUAAUUUUUUUGAUAAUUUUAUUUAAUAUUAUGAUAAAGUAAAAAUGAUAUUUUAUGAAAUAAUUAUCCAACUCAUGAAAAAUUCAUAUAUUUAAAAACAUUUUUAAAUGAAUGAAUAUAAAAUUAAUUGAAAAAAUGAGUUUUGACUCACUAAUAUGAAAAUAUAUGAAAAAAAAUUUAAUUUUUUAAAAUUGGUAUUAUCUUCAUCUAUUUAACAAUAAUUUGAAAUACAUGUAUUUUUUAAUAAGUCAUAUAAUUAUUCCAUGAAAUACAUCUUUUACUUCUUUUCAUCGAGAACUAUCAACAAUUAGACUCCUCUAUAUAAAUGUUUUCCUUCAUUUCACAUUAUUUAUUUAUUAUUAAUAUUAUAUGUAUAUUUGUCGUUUUCAGAUUUUCUUGGCUACCAAUAAUUACAUCAAGAAUUAUAUAUAUAUAAAAAAUAAAUAAAUACACUAUGUUACUUUUUUUUUUAUGUAUUUCUGUGUCAUAAAUAGAAUAUGAAGCAAAAAACAAUAAAAAAAAAUGCCCAAAACAAUCCGUCUUUGGAAUUAACCUUGACUUGACAUAAUGAAAAAUUUUCUUAAAAAAUGUAGAAAAAAAUUAUAAACCUUCUUCUCAACAAACUCAAACUCAUCUAUAAUUCAUUAAGGUUUCACCUAUUUAUAAUGUUCAUACUCUUCAAAUUACCUCACUUUUGCUAUGAGAUGUUUGUUUAUGGAAAAAAAAAAGUCUUAACAUUUUUUAUAUAUUUUUUAUUAAAGAAAAAGAAAUCCUAAAUAACAAAAUAAUAAUAAUAAUAAUAAUAAUAGUAAUAAAUAAUAUCUAAAAUGAAGGGAAAUAAUUAAGUGGAUAAGUCUAAGUUGUUGAUUGAUGUUGAUGAUAAAUGACAUUUUAGGGAAUAAUUAGAUUAUUCAUUUGAAAAGUGCAAUGUAUUCCAAAUUAUUUUUAAAUAAAUGAAUAUAAUAUUGAUUUAAAAAUUUUGAAAUUUUUUUUUUUUCAUAUAUUUUGUGAAUCAAAACCCACCUUUUUUUUUUCUAAUAUAUAUUUCAUUCAUUUUCUAUUCUAUUUUAUUUUUUAUCUUGAGAUUUUUGUUUCUAUUAAUUUUCCAAUGUCUCUUGCUUUAAAGUAUCUAUCUACUCAUAAAAAUUUAGAAUCUCCUGUUUUGCAUCCUUACCGAGUGAUCCCGACCACUUAAUUUUUGAAAACAUUUUCGAAUUGUUUUAAAAAAUAAAGUUUUAUCUGAAAACUAAAAUAUAAAAAUAAUUUAAUAAUUUUUCAUGUUACGAUUGAUGGAGGUGAGACACAAAAUGAAAAUGUUUUUAGAUGUUAUAUUUAUUGUUUGGUUCUAAAAAAGUAUUUAAGAAUGGAAAAAAUGAUUUUUAUGUUUUCAUUGGAAUAUAAAGUAUAAAAAAUUAAUAUAAUUAAAAUUGGUUAGGAGUAAUAUUAUUUUAAAUUAUAUAAAUAUAUUUUCGAAAAGAAAAACAAUAACCAAAAUAAUACAAAUAAAAUAUUUAUUAAAAUAAAAAUAUUAUGGAGUGCAAUUUCAAAAAUAAUAUUUUUUAUGAAAUAAUAUUUUUCUACUUCCCUCUAAUUCUUUUGUCUUUAUCACAAUCUUAGAUAUGAUGGUGUUGAUGACAUUUAUUUUUUUAUUUUUUUAUUUUUUAAUAUUUCCAAACUUAUCUUUUUCUCCUUAUCCUUUCCAAACAUUCUAAACCUUUAUCCGAUCUUAAUCUAAGAUGAUAAGAUAGAAUAAAAUAAUUAAUAUUUUAUAAUUUUUUUUCAAUAUUUUUAAGGAAAAAAUUGUGUAACAUCAUAAAAGAGCCGUAACCAACCACCGAUCCGUUUCAAUUCGUGAGCGUAGCAGAAUGGCAGCUACGCUCUUCCACAUCACGCUCUUCUUUCUCCUAUUUUCCAUCGUCCAAUCACGGCUCUACACGUUGCCACAACCAAUCAUUCAACUCCCCCACCUCCCCCACCUCUUCUCUGUCGCCGACUACGGAGCCAUCGGCGAUGGCCUGCACUACGACACAGCCGCGAUCCAGGCGACAAUCGACGCCUGCCACUCCGCCGGAGGCGGCCAAAUCAGGUUCCCCCCGGGGACCUAUCUCACCGCCACGGUCUACAUCAAAUCCGGGGUGUACCUGGUGGUGGAAGAAGGCGCGAAGAUACUAGGCGGCACGAAGCUGGAGGACUAUCCGGAGGAGAGCAGGCGGUGGUACGUGUUGUUGGCGGAAAACGCGACGGAUGUGGGGAUAACGGGCGGAGGAGUGAUCGAUGGACAUGGAAUGAAGUUCGUGAAGAGGUUUGAGGAGGCGAAGAAUGUGAUGGUGAGUUGGAACGAGACUGGAGCUUGCUUGGGAGAUGAGUGUAGGCCGAGACUCGUAGGAUUUCUUGGUUGCAGGAAUGUUAGGGUUUGGAAUAUCCGCUUGAAUGAACCGGCCUACUGGUGGUGCGUAGUACACCCCCCCUCUCUCUCUCUCUCUCUCUCUCAGUCUCCGUUAUCUGACUUUUGCCAACUUGCACUUUUCUUUUUCUUUUUUUGCAUUUUCAUCCUCUUUAUUAUUUUAUGCCUUCGAUAACACAUUAAAAAAAGCUAAAUUUAUUUUAUACCAAAUGACUAACAAUUAAAUUUUAAAAUUAAAACAAUACAUAUCAGUUAAAAAUAUAAUAAGUUAUCAAAAUUUGAAAAUUUAUAUAGAAAUGAAUAGAUCUAAAUUUAUAUAGAAAUGCGAUGCACUGAAAGUAGGACACAAUAAUGGAAACGUGAGGAUUUAGGAUUCCAAUUAUGGAGGGCAUCGUGUCAGAGAGUGUGGUGGAUGAGUAUGGGUUACUAGUCACUUCUGACAUAACAGAUUGUGACUCAAAGUUGGAUCCACUUUGAUUAGGAAAAUCGCUGGAAGUGAGUGACACGUGGCGUGCAGGCAGUUGGUUUUUGGAAGGAGGCAACUGUCAUUUUGCUGAUAGCGAGCACCAUCUUGAUUCAGUGCUCCACAUACCUUUUAGAAUAAGAAAUCUGCAAUUUAUUUUUUAUUUUUCACGUUUAGAAAUAAUUUUAAACAAAGAGUCAACACCCUGUUGCUAAUAUUUUUUAUUCUAACAUUUAUUUUAAAAAUUAGAUAAUAUUCAACUUUUGCAUUUAUUAUUUUUAAAUUUAGAGAUACAAAAUAAAUAAAAUCAAGAUAUAAAGAUAUAAAUAAAUAAAUUUAGGUAUAAAUAAUGUGAUAUAAAAAGGGGAACGCCUCAAUACCUCAAUUGAAAGCCAUAAGAGUGUGUCAUCAUUAAACUGUUAAGACCAAGGGAAGCCACAAUAAAGAAGAGGAACAUUAUUUGCAUCCCUUCCUAGCUAUUUGUGAGCGCACUGCUUAGUUUGGGAAUGUGUGCUUGAUCUCUAAAUCUUGGAAUCUACCCACAGCCUCAUUAUUACAUUCCUGAACAUGGGUGUCCUGUUAGUGAUGGUAACCGCAUUAGCAUCCAAUUCAAAUAGUGAAAACUAUUGGAUCCAUUGCAGCUUCUUCUUUGCAUAGGGACUUGUACCAGUGUAUGCAACAUAUUUUCUUCUUGAAAAAUAUCUGGUCCAAUCAUCCAGGUUUCAACUGCAAUCUUUAACACUACCCUUUUGGGCCUACUUUUCCCUUGUGGAUCCAUGGAACUGUAGGAGUUACUGGUUUAUGUGUUCCAUGUUUAUUUGGCUUGGGUUUCUCUUUGCUUGGUAGUUAGUAGAGAUCCAAUCCCAGGCCUGGACCCAAAGGAGGGACUCGAUAAAUGCCAGACAUGUUUCCCACAACCAAUCCCAUUUGAUAAAAGUCAUCACAGGUAGAGCCAUGGGAGUAGUUCAGAGUUCACAGUUUCAUUAAGCUAAGAAAUCCUCUGAUUUUUACAGGAGCUCAAGUCAGACAUGCUUGACCAUGGCCAAAACAUUGCUGCUGUAUGGCAGUCAUAUAGUGAGUAACCAUAUCAGUAGGAAUCCAGAUCAUAUCUCCCCAAAGUAGUUUGCAUUAAUUCUAGGUUUGCUUCCUUUUAAUGUAAGGGCUCAAGACAUUGAUAUAACUGAUCCAAAAGAGCAAUUUUUUUCAGUUGUUUUCAUAGAAAAAUGGUACAAUUGAAUUAGAUUUAUUGCCUAUAAUCUAUUUUCAGUUGUUUGUCCAUGUUUUUUUUCCUUCUAUCCAUGCAUCUGAUAAAUCGAUUUUCUAAUUGCAGCCUGCACUUGGUAGGGUGUAAUAACACAUCAAUUCAUGAUGUUUCCAUUUAUGGAGACUUCAAUACCCCAAACAAUGAUGGGAUAGAUAUAGAGGAUUCAAAUAACACAGUCAUCACUAGAUGCAGCAUUAGCACAGGAGAUGACUCCAUCUGUCCAAAGACAUCCAAUGGUCCACUCUAUAACUUAACGGUCACAAACUGUUGGCUUCGAAGUAGAUCCUCAGCAAUCAAACUUGGCAGUGGUAGUUUUUAUGAUUUCAAGGGUCUGGUGUUUGACAAUAUCACCAUUGAUGAUUCCCAUAGAGGACUUGGAAUGCAGAUACGUGAUGGAGGUAACAGCAUUUUGGUUCCCUUUUCCCUCAGAUGAUUAGUUUUUCUGUGUUGAAUUCUCCAUUCACGCUAUGUUAAAACAGAAAUUGUACUUGAAAUUCCCUCAAUAUUUAUGUUUUUUAUUUCCUCCUAAUCCAACAUUUCCUGAAAAAUACACCUGUUGUACACACCUAUUGUCAAUAUCUUUCAAUGUAGAUUAACAGGCAGAAGCAUCUUUAGAGAGGCGAUCAAUUGAAAUCUCUAUGAUCUGUUUUCAGCUAAUUAUUAACCUUGGUGUAGGAGAUGUUAGUGAUGUUACCUUCUCCAACAUGAACAUCAAAACUAGAUACUACGAGCCAGUAUUAUGGUGGGGAAGAGCAGAGCCAAUCUACAUCACAACCUGCCCACGAGACUCCAACUCAAAAGAAGGUUCCAUCUCAAACAUACGCUUUAUCAACAUCUCUGCAACUUCUGAAAAUGGCGUCUUCUUGUCGGGUUCCAAAGCUGGACUCCUCAGCAACUUGAGAUUCCAGAAUGUGAAUUUCACUUACAGAAGAUGGACCAAUUUUCCAGAUGAUUUAGUAGACUACAGACCAGGAUGCCGGGGACUUGUCAAACACAGCCCAGCCGGUAUGAUCAUGGAACACAUUGAUGGUUUGGAGCUGGAAAACGUUAAUAUGAGAUGGUCUGGUGUUAUCCAAAACAAGAGGUGGAACAACCCUCUAGACUUCCUGCCUUCAACUGUGAAUAACAUUUCUUUCCUUAAUUUCCAAUCUGGUUCCGAUUCAGUGAGGGAGAUCAGAGCCCCGAGGGAAGGAUCUAUAGUUUAAAGCUAUUCUCAGCUUCAAUUUUUUGUGAAGUAUAGUCAGUGGUGCUUUCAUUUCACUGUACAGGGCAGAUUCUGCUUGUGUACUGAUCCAAGUUGAAAACAUUUUGUGUUGUAUAAAUAAAUGAUUUUGUUUUUCAAAAUUAUUUAGUGAGAUGAUUUUAGAAUAUAAUGUCUUUACUAAAUUUAAAAACAUUUAUGACAGGCAAGCCUCUUAUUGCUCCAAGCUAAAAAACCUUUCAUUUAGACUGUUGAGAGUGUGCCCAGACAAGUGCUAGGCAUAGUUCCCCGAGCAAGUUAAUCAACUCUCGGUGGAAGAGAAAAUGAUCUGGAAAAUCACCAGCUUGAUUUUCCAUCGUCCCAAACAAGUGCUUUCUUCCAUCUCCAACCCAUUUAGCCGCCAACGAAUCCUCCUCUCCACAUUCCCGGCAAAUUCACCAGAUUUGAAAACCUUAUGCUCCAACCGUCAACUAAAAGAGGCCCUGUUGGAAAUGGGCAUUCAAGGCCUUGAAGUGGAGUUUCAAGGCUACGAUUCAGUCUUAACUGAGUGUAUAAGCCAAACAGCCAUUAGAGAAGGCCAAAGGGUCCAUGCCCAUAUGAUCAAAACCUGUUAUGAACCGCCUGUGUACCUUAGGACUAGGUUGAUUGUUUUGUAUAAUAAGUGUCGGUGUUUAGGUGAUGCAAGGCGGGUGCUCGAUGAAAUGCCGGAAAGGAAUGUAGUCUCUUGGACUGCGAUGAUCUCAGGUUAUUCUCAGAGGGGUUAUGCCUCAGAAGCCUUGCAUCUUUUUGUAGAGAUGCUAAUGUCAGGUACUUUUUCCCUUUUUUUUUUUUUUUUUUCUUUUUUAAUUUUUUUAUUUUAUGUUCCAUUUAUGAUGCGCGAUAUGUUGGAGGAAAUAUCAGUGCAAGUGUGGAAGAAGAAUAACAUGAUUUCUUCUUUCCAUUUGGAAAAAUGAUAAGAACUUGUCAAAAUAAUGACUUUUUUUCUUUCUCUACGAGGGCCUGAUAUUAAUAGUCCAUCAAUUGGAUGAGCAUUUUUCUUAGCAAAAUAAUUGUAACUGGAUUCAUAAACCAGUCCCAAGUGGAGAUUAAUUGAAUCAUUAUAUUUAGUAGCUGGACAUAUUAUAAAAAUAUGUGGGGUAUUUGUCAACCACAGGGAAUGGUUCCAUUUUUUUUUCUGCAUAUCAUAAAAUUCUAUAUAAAGUGGUGUUAGACCUACAAUAAGAACACUUCUGCAAUCUAGAAGUGGUUAUUAUUGUUUGUAUUAAGUGGAGACAUUUUACAACUGCUAUUAGAUAGUUGUGUCUGCUAUGGCAAGAGAAAUGGAAUGAUUCUAUUUCCAUGGAUUUUCAGAAUCCCUCCUUGAGUAUAACUAAAAGUCCAUGAGGUAAUCUUAGAUGGGCAAGGUUGAUUUUUUUUUUGGUUCCUGCUAUAUAUACAUCAAAACUUGUUUGUCAUUGCUAUUAUGGUUUCUAAGUCCAGAUUGUAACAUGGAAUGAUUGCAGGUACAGCCCCUAAUGAGUUCACUUUUGCAACGGUGCUUACUUCUUGUACAAGCAGUUCUGGGUUUCAGCUAGGAAGGCAAAUCCACUCUCUCGUUAUCAAGACCAGUUUUGAAUCACAUAUAUUUGUUGGGAGCUCACUUCUGGACAUGUAUGCGAAAGCUGGUAAGAUUUGUGAAGCUCGUCGAGUUUUUGAUGGUUUGCCAGAAAGGGAUGUUGUUUCUUGUACUGCUAUAAUCUCAGGCUAUGCACAGCUGGGUCUUGAUGAAGAGGCAUUAGAUUUAUUCCGUAGAUUGCAGAGGGAGGGAAUGAGGUCAAAUUAUGUUACUUAUGCUAGUGUUUUAACUGCAUUAUCUGGACUUGCUGCAUUGGAUCACGGCAGACAAGUUCACAGUCAUGUUCUUCGGGCCAAACUGCCCUUCUAUGUGGUUCUUCAGAAUUCUCUGAUCGAUAUGUACUCAAAAUGUGGAAGCCUCACAUACUCAAGAAGGAUCUUUGAUAGCAUGCCCGAGAGAACUGUCAUCUCAUGGAAUGCCAUGCUUGUGGGAUAUAGCAAACAUGGUCUGGGAAGAGAGGCUGUUGAGCUUUUCAAAUUGAUGAAGGAAGAAAAUAAAGUCAAACCUGAUAGCGUCACUUUUUUGGCUGUUCUAUCUGGUUGCAGCCAUGGAGGGAUGGAAGAUAGAGGGCUUGAAAUUUUUUAUGAGAUGGUGAACCAGAAAGAUGGAUUUGAGCCAGAGAUUGAGCAUUAUGGGUGUGUUGUUGAUUUGUUUGGGCGUGCAGGCCGCGUGGAAGAGGCUUUUGAAUUUAUCAAAAAGAUGCCUUUUGAGCCAACUGCUGCUAUUUGGGGUUCACUUUUAGGUGCUUGUAGGGUUCACCAGAAUGUUCACAUUGGGGAAUUUGUGGCUCGUCGACUCUUAGAAAUUGAGUCUGAAAAUGCUGGGAAUUAUGUUAUUCUUUCCAAUUUGUAUGCUUCUGCAGGGAGAUGGGACGAUGUAAGAACGGUCAGGGAGUUGAUGAAGGAGAAGGCUGUGAUAAAGGAGCCUGGGAGAAGUUGGAUUGAGCUUGAUCAAACUCUUCAUACUUUUCAUGCAAGUGAUCGAUCCCAUCCAAGAAAGGAAGAGGUAUUUGCCAAGGUGAGGGAGUUAUCAAUCAAGAUCAAGGAAGCUGGUUAUGUUCCUGAAUUGAGUUGUGUUUUGUAUGAUGUGGAUGAUGAACAGAAGGAAAAAAUACUCCAAGGUCACAGUGAAAAACUGGCAUUAGCUUUUGGGCUGAUUUGUACACCUGGAGGAACACCAGUCCGGAUCAUAAAAAACCUUCGGAUUUGUGUUGAUUGCCACAAUUUUGCCAAGUUUUUGUCAAGGGUUUAUGGUAGAGAAGUGUCUUUGAGGGAUAAGAACCGCUUCCAUCAUAUCGUUGGAGGAACCUGUUCUUGUGGAGAUUACUGGUGAGCUUUGACGAUUCUUUGACAGGUGAAUCUUCUCUGUUUGUACAUUAGUUUCUGGUUUCAGCAUAUCACAUUAUUGUUUCCUAUAGAUUAUGAGAUGAGCAGACAAACCAUAUCUCUGAAACAGCAAGAUGGAACUCAAUAUACUGACAUAUGCCAUGAGAAAUGAGUUGUCUUCAAUAACAAAGAGUUACCAAGUGGAGAAGCUUUCAGAUUCUUUCUGAUUGGAGAAAUUUGGUUUUGAUGAAUAUAAGACACAUAAGACAAACUGCAGUUUCCUGGUGAGAAGAUUCUAAACUGGACCUUGAGGCAGUAAAGGGUGAUUAAGAUCAUCCUGCUGCAGAUGAUUUUUCUUGUUUCUAAUGCAAGGUUUUCUGAGAAAACUCCAUGAUCUUGGCUUGAUCAUUGCAGCAACUUGGAAGCCCAGACAUCAGUUUUGCAGAUAAAGAUAUGAAGAGCAGCAUAAUUAUGUUGAUGCAGGCUAGAUUUUUUGUUUUCUCUAAAUUUCCCAGCAUCCAAGCAUUUUUAAAAUACUGAGCUUUUGUGUAGGAUCCCAGUGGAAAUGGUUGGGAAUGUUAGCGGUUAGAGGAGAAGUAGAACGAAAUCAGUAUGAUAUGAUCUUGUAGGCAGUGAAUUCUGUCAAAAUUUGAAAUUUCAAAUAAAAUUGCUCUAUAACAAUUAUAAAACAUUAAGAGUAUAUUUGGUUCAAGAAAAUUUGAGUCAAUGGAAAAAAAAAGAAAGAGAAAAUUAGUAGAAAAGAACAAAUAGAGAAAAAUAAAAAUUGAUUUAGACUAUAUUUGGUUUUUGUAAAAAUUUAUAUAUUUUAAAUUAUUUAAUUUUUAUAUAGAAGAGUUAAAAAAGAAAUGAGUUUAAAGUAUUAUAUACCAAUAAUUUGUUAACUUUAAAUAUAUUUUUUACUUCCCUUCUAUUUUUCUUUACUUUUAUUUUUCCUCUCUAUUUUUUUCCCUAAUCUUUUCCCUUAAAUUUUUCAAAAAUAAAACAUAGUUUUUUUAUAUGUUAUUAUAACUUUUUUAUUUAUUUAUAAUUUAAAAAUAUGUAAUUUUUUAAUUAAUUUUAAAUAAAUUUUAAUUUAUUUUUAUAUAUUUUUGUUAGUAUAAUCUAGAGAAAAUCAUUUUUCUUAAUAUAUUUUUUUUGAAGCUAAACAUAACCUAGGAGUUUUCUAUUGGUUUUUCCUUGAUACUAUCGGGGAUGUAAUUAAUUUAAUAAUUUAAUAUGAUGAAAUAAUUUAAUUUAAAGAAUUAAAUAUAUUUAAUAAAAUAAUUUAAUAUUAUAACUCACAGAAUAAAUCAUCUUUUCUAAAUUCCAAAUAUUUUUUUCUUUUUUCUUGCUUCUCUCUAAACAUCUCUAUUUAAUAUCAAUCAAUUAAACAUAAAUAUAUAAAUUUAAUAGUUUUAAAAAAACUUUUAAAAAAUAAAAACUAAUAAGGUCAAGUAUUUAUUUUUCUAGUUAGAGACUAGCGUAUUGGGGCUAACAUUGGAUUCGCUCGAGGAAUUACUGGUUUAGUUAAAUAUCUAAUACAUUUUUAGAUUGAAGAAGUCAUUUUUUGAUAAGAGACUAUGAGUUUUUGUGGUUUGCAUGCGUCCUAGUUAGAACUUUUAAGGGCCAAUGUAAUUCAUUACAUUGAAUUUACAUUAUAGGCGAAAAAAUUAUCAUCUCCAUGAAUUUAAAUCUUGAGUUAUUGCGAAAAAAAAUAAAAAUGAAACAAUGAUAUUAUGGAAGUAAAUAUUGUGGCACACCUUUAGCCAAUUUGAUUUGAUGGAGGGAUAAACUAGUGGCUCUUUCAUUGUGUAGACAAGGUUGGUUAGAUUAACCCUUUUUUUUUUUGUAUAUUAUAUAUUCACCUAUGCCGCUUUCUUGAUUGCCUCCACAUCACGCAAAUUUAGUUAAUUAUUAUUAUUUUUUAAUGUGUUGUAUUUACUAUAAUCUCAUUUCUUUCUAUGGAGAAGGGGUUCUAUUUAUAGUAAUAUUGAUCAUUUAUUCGACGUCAAAGACAUUUGGAAUUUCAUUUCUAAUGACACUUUUUUAGUUAGGGAUAAGAAUGUGGUAAAUUAUUUCAUAUAUUUUGAUAUUGAAAAUUCGAUGUUUGAGAUUGAUAACAAUCAAUCUUUUCAGAGUGAAUUAGAAUGUUUUUUAUUUUUAUUUAUUUUUUUUUUUAUAGUUAUCGAAAUGCUAGUUAUCUGAAUAAUGUAUUUAAGAGUAAUCAUCCCCACUAUGAUAGUUAUAUGCAUAAUACUAAAUAUAGUUGAAAUAAGUACAUUCAAAUAGAUAUAAGGUUUUAUUUAGUACACGAAAAUGCAUAUCAUGAUUCUUUUAUCUAUCAAUAAUUGCAAGCAUUGCAAAUGUAAGAAGUAGACAAUUAUCUUGACAAUAAUGAGUCAAACUAGUAUUUGUAGUGAAUCCCCGUGUUAAGUAGUUAUGUAUUAUAAUAGUAGUUAUGUAUUAUGAUAGGAACUCCAAUUCUCCGAUAAAUAUAACCUUUUUAAGCGUUAUUAGACUUAAAAUAGUUUUAUACUUUCCAUUAAAUUAACUUAAGAAUAUUGAAUUCUCAUCCUCAUCCAACACAACUUUAAAAAAAUGCAUGAUGCGAUUUUUAGAAUUUGAUAAACUUAAAUGAUAUUUAUUAUUAGAAGAAGGGGCCCAAAUGAUUUAAAAAUUAUUAUUUUUUUAAUAUCUUAGUUUUUUAAUUAAUUUUUAAAAAUCAUUAUACUUUUAACAUAAGUUUGUAACAGUUUUUAUCUUUUGUAUAAAAAUUGCUAUUUUUUUAUUUUUAAAAACUUAAAACAGAAAGUAUUAAAAAGUUCAUUUUUACAAAUAUUUUUCUUAUUUGAAACGACGUCGUUUCAGAAAUUUAAAUGUCCGCAAGAAGGAGGAGGAUAAUUAAAUAGAUCCUAACUAGCUGCUCCUCAGAAACGACGCCGUCUUGAUCUGACUGCAACUCCAGACAUUUGCCCUCGCUCUGUGUCUACUUUCUCAUCGACCAAACAUCGAAAUGCCUUCUGCUAAACCCUUCACCUCAGCCGCGGGCGCCCUCCGAAACCGCCUUCUCCCCAGCCUCCGCACAAGAGGCGGUGGCGAAUCAGGCCCAAGUCGGUGGACAAGCCCCGGCCAUCAGGAUCGCCCGAAUGGCUACCUAUUCAACCGGACUCCGCUACCACCCGGACAGACGCGACAAUGGGAAGAUUGGGAACUUCCUUGCUACGUCACCUCAUUCCUCACUGUCAUCAUCCUUGGCGUUGGCCUCAGUGCCAAGCCCGAUCUCACCAUCGAAACUUGGGCUCACCAGAAAGCUCUUGAACGCCUCGCUUCCGAGUCAUCUGGAUCCGAGUGAUUUCAAAUCGGGGCUCGGAUAAUUGGGCUUUCCCCACUCCAUCGAUGGGCUGGUCAUGGUGAUUAUGUUGAUAUGAUGUGGUUCAAUAAGGGUUUCAACUCUUGAAAAUUUGGUACCUUUUAGAGAUUUGUUUCUGUAUUUUUACUGUUAACUUUUGGAUUCUUUCAAGAAUCCUGUUUCAAGAGGUUUAAGAUUUUCUUGAUUGAAUUUACGGGUUUGUUAUCUUUGUUUGGUUUUGGGAAAAGCUAGGAAAAUUACAAGGGAAGAAAUUUGAAUCCUAAUCCAACUCUGCCUAAUGCGCUGAUUCGAUCAUUUAGCUUAGCUGGGUUGAUAUGGUGUGGUUCGGGAAAAUCCUCACUCUUGAAUUAACCGUGUUAAAGCUCAAUUGCUGCAUUUUUAGUGUUAAUUUGGGUGCUUGAAAUGAGAAAUAUAAAUAUCUCUUGACCUCGAUUGAUCGGGGUUUUGUUGGGCCUUUUUUUUUGUUGCCGAGAAAAAGUUACGGAAAAAUUGGGAAUGAAAGACAGGAAACCUCCACUGAGAUGUACUGCAUACCAGGUCUAGUUAGUUUUCUGUGUUCAAAUGUUGCAGUGAUUUGUGAUCUAGGAAGGGCUUACUGACCUGCCCUUUUGGGUUUUCAGUUACUUGUUAAACUAAUUCAAUGAGGUCCUAACUGUUACUGCAAUCUUCUCUUUCAACUUGGAUGUUUGACAUGAUAAUACAUGGAGAAUUUUGUUGUGCUCCUGGCUCAAUUUUAUGUUUGGAUGACAAUAGAAUGUUGGAUUGGUUGAAAAAUUGAAAAUUAGACAUCAAAAUCAAUUUCUUUAGGCAUUAGUUAUUUUAUUUAAAUGGACAUUGGGCAUGAUAACUCCUUGAGAGAUUUACAGCCAUAUUAUCUCAACUUAUGGCCAUUUUCUACUGGGUUGUGGGUAGUACUAGCAAGUUUAUGACAAUUGUAUUAUAUUUGUUUUUGAUUUCAUAAAAAUAAAAAAUGGGGUUGCUGAAGCUUAUUCACCCAUUAAUGAUCCUUAGUGUUUCAAACUUUGAUGUUUUUCCCAUUGAGGAUUUCUUAUAUAGUUUAUAACAGGCUUGACAGAAAUGUCUUCCUCAAUUUUGUGUUGCUAGUAGGCUGUUAAAUGACAUCAAGAAACUCAGUUUAUCACCUGGGUGAUCUCUAGGUUACAUCAUGAAGGUUACCUAUUGUCAAAACCACAAUCAUGCAGAUAAGCUUGCAUUUAUGAAUAGAAGUUGAAAAACCUAUAAUGAUGUAUUGUACACUUCCACCUAAUAACAAUGAAGGUGUGGAGUCUGUGGACUUGUGAUUAAGGUAGCACUCUUGCAAACGGGAUUAUAUCCUACAUGAUUGCAAGAAGUAGGAGCAAGUUUGUGACACUUGUAUUCUGAACUAGUAACAAAGGCAGUGUAGAUGUAAGGACAAAGAAUGAUGUGCCCUUGCGUGAUAGUGUUUUCUAUGUAUUGUAGUUGUCCAUGACACCAUGUAUUAGAGUUGUAUCACAUAGCAAGGAACUUUAUGUCGCAAGAACUUCAUUUCUUCCACUGUUUUGGACUUUGUGAGAGAUGAGGUUUUCUACAUGAUUGUAGGCGGUAUGAUAAAUUAGGAAUGAGGGUUUAGAUGACUUAUUUGAGUUGGUUGCUUAUGUGGUUCAAGGCCAUUUCAAGUUUAAGAAUCAAUUUGGACAAAAGUGAGUUAAUUCUUGUGGGGAGUGUGGAUAAUUUAGAUGACUUGGCCUUGGAUUGAGUUGUGAGGUGGGUGUUCUUCCUUCCCCUUACUUGAGUCUUCCUUUGGAGGUCCUUUUUAAAUCUAUGACAGCUUGGGAUAGGGUGGAGGAAAGGUUUCGCAAAAGGCUAAUCAUGUGGGAAAGACAGUAUAUCUCAAAAGGAGGGAGACUUACUUUGAUUCGUAACACUCUUUCCAGUUUAGAAGGAUUUUUUUUUGUGGGGUGAUGGGGCACUUGUGCAAAAACCACGCUUAGUAAGGUGGAUGACAGUCUAUUCAGGUAAAAAAGGAAAGAAGAGGGAGGGGGGGGGGGGGGGUUUGGUUGGUUUGGGCGUAAAGUGUAUUUUAGUGAUGAACAAAGUUAUCCUUUGUAAGUAAAGUUGGCACUUUGCCAAUGAAAGAGUGGCGUUUUGGAAGCAAGUUAUUAGCCAGAAGUAUGGUGAAUAUGAAAGAGGUGGCGUUCUUGUGAGGGAUAGGCAUGGUGUUGGCCUUUGGGAAACCAUAAGAAAGGAUUGUGGUCUUUUGAAUAGUAGAAUAUUUUUCUUAGUGGACAAUGGUCAAAUAGUAAGAUUUUGAAAGGACAAGUGUUGUGGAGACAAAUUGCUAUGUAUUUCCAUCCUCUCCUUAUUUGCCCUAGUUGCUUCUAAAGAAGCGUGGGUAACAGACGCUUGGAACUCAACAGUUGAAGGGGGUUGGAUAAGCUCCUCGCUUCUCUAGGCCAUUUAAUGAUUGGGAGGUGGAAAGUGCAGAGCGUUUUUUCCUGAAACUUCAAGACAAAAGGAUGUAUAGACAACUGAAUGAUUGGGAGCUGGAAUCCUUGGUUUAUUAGACAACUGAAUGAUUGGGAGUUAGAGGAGGUAGGCAUCUUUUUUGAGAGGCUGUAUGAUCAUGCUAUUUCUAUGGAUACUGAGGAUUCGGUGAAGUGGGUUGACACAAAGAGUGGUAUUUUUUCUGUUAGGUCCUUCUACUCCUCCUUGGCUAGUAGGGGAGUGGAUCAUUUCCCUCACAGUAGAGUCUGGAACUCCUAGGUCCCUGUUAGAGUCAACUUCUUUGCUUGGGAGGCAACUUGGGCUAAGAUAUUGACUCUAGAUCAGCUCAAAAAGAGGGGGUGGAAGAUGCCUAAUAGAUGCUACAUGUGCAAAGAGGAAGAAGAAACAAGUGUUCAUAUUCUUUUUCAUUGCCUGGAAUCUUGUAUACUGUGGCAGCUCAUUUUUGCUUGUUUGGUGUUCAUUGGGUGAUGCACUCUUUGAUGAGAGGUUUACUCUUGAGUUGGGGAGGCUUUCGUGUUGGUAGAAAAAGGAAAAAGGCUUGGAAGGUUGCUUCGUUAUGCCUUUUUUGGUCUAUUUGGAGGGAAAGAAAUAUGAAAGCCUUUGAGAAUUGUGAAUGUUCAGAUCAUUCUUUAAAAAGUUCUUUUUUUGUAUCUAUUUUGGGAUUGGGUAAGAUUGUAUAUUGGGGAGAGCUCCUUGUCGAUGCUUGAUUUUGUAGAUUGGUUAGGAGCUCUGUAAGGUGCGGUUGUUUUUGUGUGUCUGCUCCUUUUUUUUUUGUUUCUUUGUAUACAUUGUGUAUACUUUUUUAAUACAAUUACUUUUACCUAUCAAAAAAAAGGGAUAAGGAAGAUAGGGUGGUUUGAACGGAUUCGAAGAGCAAUAAGUUUUUCAAUCAAAUCCCUUUAUUUCACUUUGGAGCCUGGUGACCCGUUAGUGUUCCUGUAGAGCAUCAUCUGGAGUUUUUGUGUGCCACCUAAGGUAGUUUUUUCGCUUAGGAGGCAACAUGGGGGAAAGCCUUAACUUUGGAUCAAGUCCACAUGAGGGGGUUUUCUUUGACCAAUAGAUGUUUUCUUUGCCAUUCUAAAAAAGAAACCGUUGAUCACAUUUUGGUCUACUGUGCAAAGACAAGGAUUCUGUGUCAGCUGUUUUUUACUCUCUUUGGAGUGUCAUGGGUUCUUUCAUCUUCAGUUAAAGAUGCACUCCCUUGGUGGCAUGGGUCAUUCUUGAGUAAAGUUCCCAAAAAGCCUUGGAAGGUUGCCUCAUUAUAUAUCUUUUGGACUGUUUGGAAGGAAAGGAACAUGCUAGCUUUUGAUAAUACAAAGCUUUUGGUCCAAAAGAUGAAAAACUGUUUUGUUUGUAAUUUAUGGUCUUGGUAUAGGAUGUCUAUAGAUGUGGGCCCUAUGUCUCUUUUAAGCUUUAUUGAUUGGCUAGGUUCUAAGUGAGGGCAGGUGUUGUUUUUUGUUCUCUCCCUCCCCCGCUUGGUUGAGCCUUUUGGCAGCCGGUGUAUGCUUCCUCUAUACUUUGGGAAGCUGUUUUGGCGUUUCCUUUCCUUUUCAUAUGUACCCUUUGUUUUACCUAUCAAAAAAAUGAAUUAGGAAAGAAGGCAAUGGUGAUGCAAGGGCAAGGAAGCAUGCACCGCUGUGUGAAAGUGUGUUAUACAUAUUAUAGUUUUCCAUGUAUUAGCGUUGUAUCACAUAAUUUAUUUUUUAUUUUUUACCCACUGCUAUGGAUUUUGUAAAAAUAACAAUUGCAGUUGCUGAAGCUCAUUUACCAUUUUAUGAUCCUCUGUUUACUUAUUUUCUGCCACUAUGCACAUAGAAGAUUCCUUACAUACUACCCUAACAGGCUUGAAAAUUUUUCUCACUUGCUAGAUUUGUAUUGCUUGUAGGCUGUUAAAUCAUGGUGAGAAACUCAGUUAAUCACCAGGGUGAUUUAUAGGUCAUCUUGGAAAUGUUACCAUGUGUUAAAAUGACAAUCAUGCAAAUGAGCCUGUAGUGAACCUGACAUUGAUGUAUAGACAUCCUAAUACAUAUAAUAGAGCACUGUGGACUUCUAUCUUAUAUGAUCAAUGCAUGAUUCUUGGAAAUGAGGCAGGACUUUGUGAAUCAAGCAACUUAUUCCUCACAUAUUCCAGACAACCGGUUUGCUACUCAUUAUUUUGUUUACCCUUGUAUCCUUGUUUGCCUUUUAGGAAUGCAUGCAUAGGCUGCAAGCUUAUUGUGCAUUUCAAUGUGGAGUUGUUUCUUUAUAGUAUCCCUCUUUUACUGUUUAUUCUAAAUGGAUUGACACAUAAGGAUGUUUUAUGUUGCUUGUAUUAUGGCUAGUAUUUCUCAACUUGGUUAUCAAGUUCAAUUUUUCCACUCUCAAUGACACUUGCAGUUGUUUGUGUCUAAAUUUCAGAAAGGUGUCACAUCCUGCAUCAAUUACCAUUGUCAAAGUAUUGUAUUUUGUCUUUCAUUUUUUCAUGUCUUGUUUCCAAUGACAAGACGGACAAGCUCAUUUCUAAGGAUAGCUUGAUUUGGAUGAUGGUAUUUAGGGUGCAUUUUAUGGUUGAAAUAUCCUGCUGUUGUAUGUAAUGUCAUGCUGCUGUCACAAUGCAGUUGGUCUUUAUAGAUUAAACCUUAGCGUAUGUCAAACUGAUUGGAUUUUAGGAGGGAAAGAAAGGCGAAUAUAUCAAAUUGUUGGAUUACCAUGUGAUAGACUUAAAUGAUGAAUUUGUACGAGCUACCUGGUGUUCUGAAUUUGUUCUCUUGUUUGGUAAAAACUUGAUGUGCAAACUGCUGUCAGUGCUGAGAUUAGCAUUGUUGACUGGACUGUGGCCAUAAAUGAAUUUUGGGAUGGAUAGAUGUAUGACACUUUGUGGAUUUGAUUGAGUAGUUUAGUAUGUUUCUUGUUUUUUUGUUUAUGCUUUGUGGCUUUUUUUUUUGGGAAGGGGGGGGUGGGGUUGGUCAUAAGCUGGUCCUUUUACUUUCAAAGUAGCCUUUUGAAUUAGGUGUGAUUUAAAUUAAGAGGCUACUGUAUCGGGGUUGGAUGCUCGUAAGGUAACUAGGAAUGGGACUAUUAUGCCCAGCAGGGUCUUUGUACCUGCAGAGAUCUGGAAAUCCCAAAUUCGUGGUCUGGUGAACUAUGGCUUUGGAGGUCUGAUCAUUAGUGAUCAACAGAAAUUAGAUGUUUUUUAAACAUUUACAGUGCAAUGAAUGGCUUUUCCUUCAGUCUUGUUUGGAUACCUUUCGGUCUGAUGAAGAUUCAACAAUCCUUUGCCAUUCAUUCCUUUUGAGAAGAGAAGAGAAAUAAUGCUGGAACGUUUUGAAUAGUUUGUAUACUAUAACAAUAUAACAAAUGCACCCAUAGUAUCAAUCCCAGCCUAUAUUGGAGUUGGAACCAGAAUGCAAUGGAUACUAUUACCAGAAAAUAAGAAUUAAAAUAUUUAAAAAAAAAAUUAGUGUUGGAAAAGGGCAUCUCACUUUUAAGGAUUAAACCAUUGGAAAUCAAAGGAACAAGAUGAACUAGGAUUCAGCACUGAUUAAAUGACCCUGGUCAGAAGCAAAGGUCCCAAGUCCCAAACUAUUGGUUUGUGCCAGACGGUAAGCACAAACUGCAGAAUAAAUUAUGAUAAAAAUGCUUAAUUUCCUACGGCUGCUAUGGAUUUUGUAAAAAUAACAAUUGCAGUUGCUGAAGCUCGUUUGCCCUUCUAUGACCCUCUGCUUAUUUAUUUAUUUUCCAUUAUGCACAUAGAAAGUUCCUUAUGUACUGCUCUAACAGGCUUGAAGAAUUGUCAUACUUCCUAGAUUUUGUAUUGCUUGUAUGGUUAAUCACAUCAAGAAAUUCAGUUAAUAACCAGGGUGAUUUAUAGAUCAUAUCUUGAAGGUUACCAUGUGUUGAAGUCAGAAUCAUGUAAACGAGCCUGUGGCAAACCUCACAUUUAUGGAUAGACAGCCUAAAACCUAUAAUGGUCCACCUUCGACUUCUAUCCAACAUCAAUUAAGGCAUGAUUCUUAUUCACAAGGCACGACCCUUGUGAAUGAAGCUACUUUUUCUCCACAUGUUUAGGAUACCAUUAUGGCUAAUUAUUAUGUUUACCCUUGUAUCCUUGUUUGCUAUUUAAAUGUGCUGAGGAAUGCAUAUGCAUAGACUGCAAACUUAUUAUGAGAUUUAAUGUGGAGUUGUUAAUCAUAAAAAAUAUAUUUAGAGCUGGCCUAAAAUGGUGCAUAUGAGAUGGUAGAAAAGUUUGCUUCUAAACAGACUACUAGGUUUAUAUGUUACCUCUUAUUUCUUUUUGUGGAUGAAAAUAGUUUACGUUACACCAUUCGCUAGAGUAGUCCAAUUGGUCAAGGUUGAGAAGGGUGGUCUCAAUAAGUAGUACAUGGUCUUGGAUUUGAAUCCUGUCAUUGAUGAUACCUUGAAUUUCCCGGCGCUAGUUGUCAUUUCUUUCCUUAAUUUAUCUUGAUAUUUUGAUGUUGAGAUUUUCUAGUAAAUUCCUUCCCAAAUGUUUUGCAUUUUACGGGUGCCCAAAAAACACACACAUUGAUUAAAAAGCCUCAAUACCCCUUUAGUCAUACUUCAGGUCGUUCCAGAGAUUAGUUGGUAUUUAAUUGAACUUGGUCUUUUAAUGAGCUCCCCGUCCUUGAUGAAGGCUUUAUUGCACUCAACAUAUUGUCAUGUGUUUCUCAAAUGGGCCAAUUCUUGUGAUUAGAUGUUUUUUCUUUUGGAGCUUUCAUCUAUCAAUCCCAGGCUUUAGAGGUCAAAUAAGGGUUUAUCUAUAUCUAAAGAAGUUGGAUUUAGUCUUAAAAUUAAUUUGACAGUAAUUUUAGAAAAUAAUUUUAACUUUUUUUUAUUAUCAAAACACUUGUUUUCAAGUAAUAAAAAGAUUAAAAAUGCUUCUUAGGAUUAUUUUCAGACAAACUUUUGAAACAAGUAUCAUUGUUUUCUUUCAAACAGGCAAGGAUUCAUGAUUCAUAGGAUUGGAGGGUGGGGCUUGUCCUACCAUGCUAUUUCAUUACCUCCUCCAGACCUCAUCAACAAACCCAUAGGCUUAGCAGAUAUCAUAUCAACAUCAUCAAAGUCAUAUAUGGAUAUAGUUGCUUCUAAUGUCAUGAGUCUCUCUUUGUCCCAAGCUUUCUUGUCUUUUCCCUCUUUCCCACGCUAAUCUUUUGAGUUUGUUACCUGCUACCAUGUUGGCCAACUUGUGAUUUUUGACCGUCUCCUAAUCUCGGAAUCAUGUGGACGUUGCUUCUACUCCAAACACCUUUCUCCCCACAAUCUCUAGUCUAUAAAAUAUGGAUUAGUGGACAAAACACAUCUUUAUGCCAGCCAUUGCUUCACCAUUCAUCAUAGUUCUGUUUACUAAUAUUAUAAUUUGGCAUGCCCAAUCAUGUGAGCCCAACCGGCUUCUCGUGAUGUUUUGUCUGAGAUGCGUUUCUUUUUCUGAACCACAGAUGACCCCAAAGGCUACAGAAGGGCACGCUUUUCUUCUAUGUAUUUAUUAUGAUCCCUUCUUUUGUGUUUUACAAUCCUAGGAUUACUAUUUGAUUUAAAUUAAUACCAAUGUUUGAAUACAAGGCUGCUUACUGCCUGGCUUUUUAAUUACUAUGAUCACUGGAAGCCCCAGUUGUGGUGAAAUCCUAUGAUAAUAAUUCUCGUACUCCUUUUAGCCACGUGGCUUUUUCACUUUUACUGUUGGGCUUGCUUAGUGCUUUUGGUUCAGUGUUUGAUAUGCUCAAUUUUAAUGUUGGAGUUGGUGUAAAUUAUAUAAAAAUUUAUAUCCUAGACCUCAAAAUUUAAACUUCCUUUUUCUCCACACGACCACUUUGUUUAGUGUGAAGUCAUUCUUAAACUAUGCUUUCCACCCUAUUACAUCAAAUCCCCCACAAAAAAUAAAGCUAAAGGAGUAGUUGGAUGCUGACGUGGCAAGUGCAUUACCAAUCAGUUUGCAUUUAAGUCUCCAGGUGGACACCGCUAUUCAUUACUUAAAUUGACUAGAUGCCGUUGCGUUGGGAUCCACUUGGAAAAAAAUAGAAAGGUUGGCUCUCAACUUUUGACUAGGGUGGUGGAUUUAUGGACAAAAUUGACCUCUCACAUCUGAAGCUUCUGUCACAUCAAGUAAGGGUAAUCUCGUCAUAAUAAAUUGUGUAAGGUGUGUCGUUUUCUCGAUCAUUCACAAAAUUUAAUAGAAUUGGAAUAUCUAGGCCCAUCCAAUGAAUCUCCCAAAAAUAAAUUCGAAAAAAUAAAAUUGUGUUUGGAUAAGAAAAAAAUGAUUUUUUUAAAGUGGGGGUGGUGAGCCCAUGCAAAUGUGUCUCUACUGUGUAAAGGUCAAGGCAAAGGCAGAUUUGUUGUUCUUUUGAGGCAAUUGGAGUGGUAGAAAAGUUUUUAGUACGUUGGUCUUUGUUUUUUUACCAAAUAGAAACAUUUUGGAUAUUCUUUUUUGAAAGAAAAUGGUUUUUGGAGUAUUUGUUUUAAAAAUACGAUGUUAAUUUUUACCUUUUUUUUUUUAAAAAAAAAUUCUAAAUAUUAUCAAAAAAUUAUUUUUGGAAACUAAUCACAAAAAAUUAUUUCGCUUUUGAAAAUGUUCCAAACAAAUACUAGAUAUUUCUAAAAUAUUUUAAAAUUAAUUAAUAGAUUCUUAAUAAAACCAAAUAACUUUUUCUUUUUAUUUAAAAAUAUUUCACAAGUAUAAUUAAAAAUUCAAAUAGAAUAUAAUAACUCCUCGUUACCCCAUCACUAGAGUGACAUUGUCCCAUUACUAGAAAAAACAAAGCGUUCUCUUGUUCCCCCUCUGUUCGUGGGGUCCAUUUCUAAUUCAGUCCAAAUUUCGGAAACAUUUAAUAAUUAAUAAUUUUGUUGCCAUUCAUUUCAUUUAAUACGUGGCCCAAUUAGAAAUGUUAUAUUCUAUAGCCAAGUUUCUUCAAAUUUACUAAUUAUUUCUUUAAUUUAAAAUAUUAUAAUAAUUAAAAUUUAUUUUAAAUAGGAAAUUUAACGCGUUUAAAUAAUUGGAAAUCAUAGCUAAAAACCAAAAAAAAUAUGUGUUUGGAGCGCACUAGCAACAAGAUAGGCGCCGAUCAAAUCAGCCAGCUGGGGUCAAAAUCAAGUAUUUCAAAGUCACCAUGGUCAAAGGCUCUUAGUGAUUUCGGCUUCGAGAGCAAUUAUAAAUCGGUAAAGAUUUUUAUUUUAUUUUCUUUUAAGGGUAAAAGUGAGUAAGCGUAACGUGACCGGGAACUACCGGUCAUUUUCGUCCACCGACAGACUUUCCCCGUCACCCGAAACUGCUACUCCGUACAGUCCAACCUUUUAAAUGUGUUCCCGCACUGAAAACUGCCAAAUCAUACAAUCGUUCUCAGGAGAGUGUGGGAGAUUAUAAUCCCGAAGAUUAUUUGAAGUUUUUCCCCGAGAAAGUGACGAAAAUCGAGGAUAGCGUUUUAGUGCUUGUGCUUCUUCUUCGACCUUCGGAGCAAAAGAACGCUUGGUAAGAUCAUUUGCUUUUUCUUUUUUGACAGAUUACGGCCUUUUCACUGUUUUCUUUCCCUGUUUCUUUUUGUCGGUGUCCUUCGUCUUUUCACUUCAAGAAUGGACUACACAGUAGAUGAUGCAUUGUUUUACGCUUCGAAGUCUUCUGAUCUGAACGUUUCUGCAUUCAGAUCUUGUCGUUCUCUGCAUUUUGAUUCCUUGAAUUUUGGCGAUUUAUUUGCUGUUGCUCUGUUUCGAAUGAUUUUAAAGGUUUGUUGACUAAUCUUGCUUCUACAUAUUGUUAAAGAGUUCUGGUCGAGUUUCGGUCACUAAUGUUGUGUUUGGUUGGCGAGAAAUCGUAAGAAAAUAAGAGGAAACUUGAAAUCUUACAAGAGCCACUUUCAUCUCUCUUUCUAUACUUUACCGGGAAUCUAGCGGAGUCUGAUCGUUAGAACGAUUGAGGGACGAGUUCUUUUAGUUUAGUGUAUGGCUAUUAAAAUUUUUGUAUGAGGAUUCAAUUUCAAUGGUUUUUGAAUCGAAUUAUAUGGUUUUAGUUGGACUAGUCUGUUCUUUUCUUUAUCUCCCUCCUUGGAGCAUAUAGUGGUGUGAAGUGUCCUUUGGAUGAGUUGGAGGUGUGGGUUAGAGAUUAUUCAUGCCUAUGUGAGUUCAGUUUUGCUCCAGUGAAUGGAUGGUUUAGUCCAGUCUUGGUCUUGCCAUGGGCCCUGCAGUUCAUCUGAGAUGACAACAUCUGAAUGGUAAAAUGCCGUUGAGUUGCUGGAGAGGAGAAUUUAGGAAUUCGAUGUUUCCAUGCUUCUGAGUGGUGAACAAUUGGUGGUUUCCUGUUAUCCAUGUUUGAGAUCUGAUUGCAUAAGAAUUGCAUAGUUCCAAUUUUUUUUUUCUCUGUUCGACUCUGGCUCUUAUAUAUGGUGUCAAGCAAAAUUUAUGUUUGUUCAUUGCAUCCAAAGAAUGGAACACAAAAAGAAGAGUUCCAAUGCAUUGCAUAAGCUUGAGGUCCUUUCCAUUAGAUUUGAAGUGGCAAGAUCAUGCACAGGGUAUGAAAAACAUCGGCCCAUAUUUUGUAAGCAUGAACUUCCCUCACCAUUUUCAGUGAAAGGGGAGAAAGGAAUAAUGAGUUGGUUGUGCAUCAUUUUCUUUGGUUCUAUCUGUGCUGACGAUUGUUCUUAUACUACUAUAUUUUUGUGGUUCCUCUGCAGUAGGCUAUGAAUUUUCUCCCUGUGAAACUCUUUACCGUGCCAACAUAAUAUUUUGCAAACUCAAGUCAAGUCCAACAUGUCUGGUUGUAAACAUCAUUUUUAGGAUUAAAACUUUGACUUGGUAGUAUCUUAUGCUAGUUGUUUCUUUGAAUUCUAACUGAGCUCCUUCAAAUAAAGUGCUCUACAAGAGCUGAAAAAGAGACCCUGAACUGCAUCAAGAAAAAUACCUGCAAAAAAAACUGAAUAUAAAGCUUAUUAUGCUGAACCAGAAUCCAGUAACUCGAUCAGUUAUUUGGACAUGGGUUCAGAACACUCUUUAGUUUACAUAAGACAUGUUUUUAACCUUGUAUAUUAUGCGGUCUAUGCCAACAGGUUUAAGGAGGUGCCUUGAGAUAUAAAGUCCUGUGAAAUGGUUGCCAAAGAGAACAAGGAUGAAAUUAAAGAUAACCAUUCUAGUGAUUUGGAGAAAGAGCCUAAGCCAGGAAAGGAGGAAGAGUCUGAUUCUGAAACAAGAAGAGAUUCGGUAUCAUCUCAAGGGGAUUCACAGACAGCUGACGAUGAGAAAGUAGAGAGAGCUUCAAGAGUUCCCAAAAGGAUUGCCAAAAAGGAUUCCUCUGACAACCAUUCUCAUGCAUCAAGAGUGAGAUCUGAUCGUGAAACACAUAAAUCACAAUCCAAGCCAUUACAUAACACUCCUAAGAAAUCUCCAAAAUCCAACAAAGGGCCUUCUAAAGUGACUACAAAAAAUUCCCCCAAUACUAAUUCUAAAAAUAUGAAAGUUCCUCCAAAACCCUCAUCAGAAUCAUCUGAAGGAAUUGAUGAUAAACCUAUUGAGGAGGUAAAGGAAGCAGAUCUCUUGGAUGGAGCCUCAAAUGGUGUUCAGAGUGUUGGAAGUGAUGAUGAGACAGUUGAUACUGAGGAAAAUGGUGAGCAUGAAGACAAGGUUGCUUUGGAUCAAAGGAUAGAAGAAAUGGAAAUGAGAAUUGAGAAACUUGAAGAGGAGCUGAGAGAAGUUGCUGCUCUUGAAAUUUCACUCUAUUCUGUGGUACCAGAGCAUGGGAGCUCAGCACAUAAGGUGCACACACCUGCACGACGGCUUUCUAGACUCUACAUUCAUGCUUCAAAGCAUUGGGCCCAACAUAAGCGAGCCACAAUUGCUAAAAACACUGUGUCUGGGCUUGUUUUGAUUGCCAAGUCCUGUGGUAAUGAUGUUCCGAGGUACGCCAAUUAUCAUGUUUUUAAGUCAAUGCUUUGGGAUGCUAUGCUCAAUUAUUGUAUACUGAUCUAACAAUGUUCUUCUUCCUUGUUUGUUUUCUUCUUUUCUUUUUCUUUUUCUUUUUCUCUUUCAAAAUUAAGGCUAACCUUCUGGAUGUCAAACACCGUUGUGCUGAGGGAGAUAAUAUCUCAAGCAUUUGGCAAUUCAUGUCAGUCUAGCCCAGUUGUAAGGUUUUCUGAGUCAAAUGGAAGUGGGAAGAAAAGUGACGGAACAUCUUUGACACUGAAGUGGAAGGGUAGUUCUGGUGGUAAACAAGUAAACAAACUUGGUUUUGUGCAAUUUGUUGAUGAUUGGCAGGAGACAAGAACCUUCACUUCUGCAUUAGAAAAAGUUGAAUCCUGGAUUUUCUCUCGGAUUGUUGAGUCAGUAUGGUGGCAGGUAAAAAAUACACAAGUUACUGUAUGAUUAAUGAAUUAAAUUUGAUCCAAACUGUUGAAAGUAAUGUAAUCUAACUAAAGAUCUCAUACCCAUAAGUCAUGCACGAUAUGCAAAAAAAUCAACCUGUUAAGUGACAUGCACAAUUAUUAAUAUAUAUCUCCAAAUAUGAAAAUAAGCAUUUUAUUUUUAUUUUGCUAGUAAAGUCUAUGUGUAAGUUACUAUUAUGUCUGAUUUAUAAUUAUAAGUGGCUUUUAAUGUGCUAUGUUCCUUAAUUCUCUCACUAUCUUAUGGUUUCAGACUUUAACUCCGCAUAUGCAACCUCCAGUUAAGGAUUCCUAUACCAAGAAAACCAUUGAACGUCUAUUAGGACCUGCCUUAGGUGAUCAGCAGCAAGGGAGCUUUUCCAUUAACCUUUGGAAAAAUGCUUUUCAAGAUGCCUUUCAAAGACUUUGUCCUGUUCGAGCAGGAGGGCAUGAGUGUGGUUGCUUGCCUGUAAUAGCAAGAAUGGUAAGUGCUUUAAAAUAAAAAUUUGCCUUUUCUAUUUUUAUUUUCAUUUGCAAAAGCAAUGGAGAAUAAACCGAAGACCAAAACUUUUCAUGUUUCAACUUUUUAGCAGGGCUGACUUGUUUAAGCUUUUAUAUUCUCUGAAGGGUUAACUAGAUGUUUCUGUCUGCAGGUAAUGGAACAGUGUGUUUCCAGAUUAGAUGUGGCAAUGUUCAAUGCUAUUCUACGUGAGUCUGCCCAUGAGAUCCCAACUGAUCCUAUAUCAGAUCCAAUUGUUGAUUCCAAGGUUCUGCCUAUUCCAGCUGGAGACUUGAGUUUUGGAUCUGGUGCUCAACUUAAAAAUUCUGUAUGUAUUGACUUACUUUACAUAUAUGUGGCUUGCAUAUUUUGUGUGAAAGUUGCUUUAUCUUCAUCCAAGGGGUAGUUAGUCCUCUGAUUUGUCAGCCAGUAUAGAAGAAUCCAGCCUUGAUUAACUUCUAGGGUAAUUGACAAACCAUUAUCGUGGUGAAUACAUGAAGGCAGAUCAGUUACAGUUAGCAACCGCUAUUGUAAUUCAUUUACUUUGCUUCUUUCUGGACAAAAAUAGUGGAAACAACUCCUGAUUUCUUUAAGAACAUAUGCCUGCCAUAAUAAGGGAAAAGAAGAUUUAAUUAGGGGAAAAAUGCUUUUAGUCAAAGACACCUUAGCUCCAUCACAAACAAGUGGAAAACAAAUUUUCUCCAGGAAUGAGUUCCAUUGUGACAAUGAAGCCUUCUUGGUAGAUAAUUUGUGGUUAAGUUGGCAAUUUAAAACCUUUUCAGCUUUUUUAUAGGCAAUUGAAAGCUUCAAACAUCUCAUUGUUCCACUAUUUAGAAUUGAUGGGCAUUUCAGGGUACAGAUUUAUCCUCUGUCAUGUAAUUGUUACUAGAAAAGGGGAGCUGUUGAAAAAAGGAAUCAUAUCCCAAAUGACAAUGGAAAAAAUGUAUCUUGGAUUCCCUCUUUAAUGAAAAUUCUGAACUUCCACAUUCAGAGAUUAUGUACACUCAUUUAAAAUGCUAUAGAAACAGAAUGGUCUCUUUAAAUCCUCAAAACAGUGAAUUUAUCUCAUUUUUAUGAGGACAUCCAAAAUGCCCUCUGAUUGUAAGAAUAAUCAUACACAUGUCAGCAACAGGUACAAGGAGUUAGGCAUUCAAAGCGUUUCUAGGUUUAUAUCAUCUAUGGGAAGACCCUUGUUUUCUAUGGAAUGAUCAUGUUUACAAGUUUUAAAAUCACAUGGAGUUUGCUUCCCAUGCAGGUCGGAACUUGGUCCAGAUGGCUUACUGAUUUGUUUGGUAUGGAUGUUGAUGAUUCCCUGGGAGAAGUUCAGAUCAAUGGUGAGGAUGGUGAAAGCCAGGGUGGACAUGAUGAACCCAAAUCGUUCCAUCUUCUUAAUGCCUUAAGUGAUCUUCUGAUGCUUCCAAAAGACAUGCUAAUGGACCGAUCCAUUAGAAAGGAGGUUAGCCUUAUAAUAAUAUACUUUCAUUCAAGACAUGUAAUAUUUCCUUGCUGCUCCUCUAACUUGAUGCAUUUUUUUGGUUGUCAUGUUUUUAACAUGAAAGGUGUGCCCAUCAAUCAGCCUUCCAUUGCUUAAAAGAAUACUUUGCAACUUUACACCAGAUGAGUUCUGCCCUGAUCCUGUCCCAGGAGCUGUGUUAGAGGCAGUGAAUGCUGAGGUAGAUUUUGCUUACCUUUGAAAUCUCUUCCAGAAGUUUUUUAGGAGUUGAGUAGGUACACUAAAAUAGUACAUUGGGCAAUUAUUCAAUAUUCAUUAUUUUGUGGAUGCUAUUAUUUUGUAAUGGCUCUUCAUAAACACCAGAAGACAAAACAAGUGGAGUUCAAAAACUUAGGUUGGGGUUGGAUUUUUUGGUCUAGGUUUGAGUUCCAACAGAUAUGAAAGAAAAUGUCAAGGGAAAAAAAAUGGUUUGGAGUUUCAAUGAUUUUUUACCCUUUUUCUGAACUUAUUGUGGGGAGAAAAAUAUUUCCAAGUGGCAAUUAAAAACCAGAAACAUCAACAAUUAAUCACGGUUCCAGCUCUAUUAAGGGUGGCCAUUUAUUGUUCUGUUCCAGCUUUUCAGAUUCCAUUUGGAGAAUAAAUGAUGUUCUAAUGGAGGACUGAACAUUUAAAUUGGAGAUUUUCUAUGAUAGGUCACUGAUGAUUCCCCAUGAAACUUUCUUGUCUCAAUAAUAUGCUAUCCACACCUUUACUGAUGGAAAUGCCACCUAGGCCUAUCAUCUUCUGCUUCUGUUUCUAAACAUAAAAAAUUUCAGAAUCUUGCUAUGGCCGAUUGAAGGACAAAGAUGCUGAAAUAGAUGGCUGAUCCAUCGCUAUUUCAUUUUUCCAGAGUAUUGUAGAGCGAAGAUUAUCAGGAGACUCUGCCAGCAGCUUCCCAUAUCCAGCUACCCCUGUUCUGUAUGCUCCUCCUUCCUCUGCUGACGUGGCAGAGAAAGUUGCAGAGGCAGGUGGGAAAUCACAAUUGGCGAGGAAUGCGUCUAUGGUACAGAAAAAGGGGUAUACCAGUGAUGAAGAACUGGAGGAACUGGAUUCUCCCCUCACGUCCAUCAUUGAGAAAAUGCCACCAUCUCCAUCUGUUGUAAGAAACGGAAAUGGAAAACACAGUGAGGAAACAGGCCAUAAUGGCUUAAAUGCAAGGUAUGAACUCCUUCGUGAGGUUUGGUCGUCGUGAAUGGUGCUUGUGAUUACAUUAAUACAUUAAUCAGUUAUGCUGCUGCUGUUUGCAUCAAAGAAUAUCAUGAAGGGAAUCGCAGGAGGAUGUUCUCUAAUGCGUCUGGGGAGAUGCUCUGUUGUAUAUGUUAUAGUGUUACACAUAUAGAGAGAUUUUGUUGCAUUCAGUAAAUUAUUUUUCAGUUAUUUGAAAGUUAUACUUGUAUUCUUAAGAAAGAUUCUUGUUGUACUGCUUCUCCAUGGAAAAAAAUUCCUUAAUCCUUGUCGUAGAUUGUUUUAUUUGUAGCUCAGUGCAAAAUUGCAAAUUGCAAAAUCCUGGUGCCCCUGGGGCUUUCUCAGAACAUGGGCCAAAUUGGGGUUUGGGCCUGAUGAAAUGGGCUGGCCCGUCAAAUAGUUAUUUGGUGGACAGCCCUGGCCGUGCACCACUGGAUGUGGAUGGCCCACGGUUGCACCUUUGGCCUUCUGGCUUUAGGGAAGCUAAAAUCCAACAUUUUGAUUGAUGUAUUGAAGCGUUGGGUUUGUUCUCAGUAGCAAAAUUAACUGCGAUAUUUUGAACUUCUGCCUCCAGAAUCUCUCUCUCUACUGGUAUUAGAAAAACUUCUGCCUUUCUUGAGGUUCACCCGCCCCUGAUAAAUUGCGAAAAUUAACACACCCAAAGAACGUUGCAGGCAGUUUUAAUACUAUGGAUGCUUGACCGUAAAAAUCCAAUGAGCAUGAAUCAUCUUCAUUCGAGAAUAAACUAUUAUUUCAUACUUGUAAUCAUUCUUCACCAUAGGAAAGUUAAUGAAUAUUAUCUCAAACAUCAGCGCACAAGGAAAAAACUAAUUAUCAACUCUUUUACAAAAAUUCAAGAAUGAGGCUUUGCCCUAAUUAACCCCACCCUAUGGUAUAGGGCUUAAAUCCGCUACUCGCCUCCACACUAUUGGCCAGAGACCUUCCAAACUGAGCUGCAAGCUGGGCUUUUCGAGCAUGGAGGACUCCUCACAAAUGGAAUAUGCCCACUUCAGGAGGUCCAUUGUAGACAUGAUCUGGUUUGUGGGCUUCCCUCUUUGCCUGUUAUCUGCAUGUUUGUCAGAGAGUUUGCAGAUAUUAGAGAAAGUGGGAGGUAGAGCUUGAAGACGAAGUUUUUUACUACCUUCCAUCUUCUGGUUUAAAGUUGAAAGAACUGGAGAGGCUCAUACCCAUGCCUAAGCUUCUGCAAUGCCUGAUAUUUUGGAGUUUAAUAUUUAUAUAUAUAUAUAGGUCAAGUUUGAGGAGUUAAUAUUUAUAGGAAAACGAUUGAACUCAACUUAAAAUCUUUAAUCAUAUGACAUAUUAGAAAUUUUAAGUUCUCAAAGAAGUAUUAUAAUGAAGGUUCAUAUCUGGUCACAUUACUCAGGUUCAUAUCUGGUCACAUUACUCAUACUUUUCGAUCAAUUUUUUCAUAACCUUCACAUUCUACAUAUCCCGAAUCUCUUAAUACAUAUUUAAGUGACCUUGAAGUUAUACACCAUUAAUAAAAAGUGAUAUUAUGUGAAGACUAAGGUGGUGUUUGUUUUUUUUUUUUUGCUUAAUUUUAAAUAGAAAUUUAAUAUUUAAUAAUGUUAAAUAUUAUGUUGUUUGUUUUUAUAAUAUUUUUUUUUAUAUUAAGUAUUAAAAAGUAAAGAAAAAACCAAUAUGUUAUUUUUUUAUUUAGAAAAAAUUAAAUAUUUUGACUUUUUUAUUCAGAAAAAAUUUUAUAAUAAGUUAUGAAAAGGUAAAAAAACAAACAACCUAAAUUCUGAAAACAAAUUGCUUUCAUUAAAAAGUCAAAAAAACAAACAACCUCUAACCCUUAUAUAUUAUACUUCAGUCAUAAAUGGACCGCUUAAUUAAGCAUCAUAUCAUUAUAUAAAGGUUCAAGUUUAACACUACCCGUAUAACAAGCUCUAUGUCAUGAAAUUACACCAGUGUGUUCAAGUGUAGCCACAUAAUCUUUACAUAUUGAGACCAGGACGGCUUGGGUCUGCUGAGAAACUCUUAACUGAGCUGGAAGGGACAUCAAACUCAGUUUUGUCUGCUGGAAAAUCUUCAAUCCACCAUCCAUCUUCUGCAUUUUCCGGGGCCAAGUCUUCUCCAACAGUAGUUCCAUUUGUUUGCACCACGCCACCUGCCAUAUCAGUAGAAUUAUUUCCAGUUACAGUCACUGUUGUAUUCCCCUCCAACAUCCAGCUCCUCCGCCCGUUGAAAUCGGCGUUGGUUCUGGUUCCCCUUGCAGGGCUAGUCAAUCCAUCAAAGAAACCAGGGCUGGGCUGAGGAGGAGGGUUUUGGAUACCACGGAGCCCGAAGAAUCUAGGGUUUUGCUCCAGGGCGUCGAGGAAAAAGUUUUCGUACUGCGGGGUUGGUAGGGUCUGAAACUGUUGAGAUGGUGGCAAUGGUGAAAUCCCCCUCAUAAGUCCAAAGCUGUAAGUCUUACCAGCUCCGUGAAUAGUAGAAAAUCGCCCCAAAUUCCCACUGGUUGUCAUCCCACUACCAGUGCUAGUAAACCCAAGAAAAUUAUGGAUAGGUUGAAAGUUAGGGUUUUGGUAGCCACCAAGAAGGAAGGAGCUAGGGUUUUGAUCCUGGACCUGGUUGAUACGACUGUGAUUUUGCCGGAACCGAAGAUACUGGUUCUCUGGGGCUGGUUGAAUCGGCGUUUGUUCAACUGGGUUUAGUUGCUGAAUCCCACUACCAAAUCCAUGGGCAGAAUUGGGGUUGGUUUGAAAAUUAGGGUUUUCAUGGGCACGAAGAAGGGAGGAGCUAGGGUUUUGAUGGUCUAGAUGUUGGCCAUGGUUGGCAGAAGUGUAACUCCGAUGAAAUUGAAGAUUUUGCUGUCCCGGGGCUGUUAGAUUCUGAAUCUGCUCGUCAGAUGGUUGAACUUCAGGGUCAGGCUGGGGGCUUCUCGAGUUUCCAUCUUCCGGCACGUCCGGUACCUUCUUUGCCUUCCUCUUUGAAAGAACUUCAUCCACUGAAGUAUUUUUUACGUACUUUGAAGCACCUUCACCAAUCGGGAGCUUAUUACUUGCCAGUAUGCUCAUGACAUUGUACUGACCAAGAUCAAAAUUGGUAAUUGCCUCCAUGCCAUUAAGCCUUAUCGAAGCAAUGUCAUAAGCCCUAGCUGCUUCAUCUUCGGUCUCUGUCAGCACAAUUGAAGAUUGAAUACUCAGAUCAGUAAGGCAAAAGUGGAAUCACCCCAACAUACUCAAGUGGCAGAGGGUCACUCUCCACCAAACAGUUGAGAUCAUUUGAGGGUUUUGAGCUAACAGUUAGAGUCUAAGUCCCACCAAGGUAGAAGCUAGAGCUAAUCAAAAUAUGUGAUCCAAGAGGGGAAGGACUUACUGAAUGUCCCUAAGUAAAUGCCUCGCAAUCCUUUGCCUCUACCUAACCUUGCUUGCCAUUUCUCGCCGUCAGCAUUCCUGUCCCAAUGCUUGGCCAUGAGAGACAGAAGGAGAAAACAUGAGUGAUAGGAAAGAGGAGAGAAAAAGACAGAUACUUGGAAACUCCGCGAUAUUGAGAGGCGCCUUUAGCAAAGCCCAUACUUGUCCUAAAAUUCGUUUGUUUCAAACUAUAGUUAAUAUAUAUGGUCUCCACAAGAAAUAAUUUCUUUGCAUUUCAAGAAAAUAUAAAGUAAAAAAAGUGAAAAAAAAUGUAUAAAUCAGAUUAUACAUACACGUUAUAUAUAUAUCCAAGUAAAUGCAGUUGUAAUUAAGGGAUUUCAAUGGAAAUGAAUCAAACCACACACCAUUAAUUUUGAUAGUCUAUGAAAGAAUGGAUUAAGUAGAAUCUUACCUUCUAAGGGCUACCAGAUAAUCUUUUUUCGACAUGUCCUUCAUCACCUCCAUUUCCUUCUGAUAAUUACUUAGCUGCAAUGAUACAAGUACAGAUUUAAAAAAAUUUGUCACCCUUGCUAAGUAUAAAUGAACUCUCAUACCAACAUACUUAAGCAUCCAAAUCAUAAAUCCAGUCUGGGUCCAUCAAUGUUGAGAACCAUACCGGGAAAUUUGUGGGGACUGAUCUGCCCCAGAACUUAAUGGCAGCUAAAUCAUAAGCCCGAGCUGCCUCAUGUUCUUGUCGAUAUACACCUGCAGAAUGAGAAAGAGGAAUGAGAAACCGUUGGUGACCAAAAACUAUGUUGUGCUGUCUUAGUGGGAGAACUGUGUUGAAGAUUAUGAACUGAAAAUUAAUCUUGUACUUACCAACAUAAACUUCCAGAUGUGAAGCAAGCAACAGAAACCAGAUGAGGAAAGAGAAGGGAGUUAGUAAUAUUCACGAGAGGAUUCUUAUAAGGUGAAGGAACAAAACUUGGAAAGUAAAGAACAACAAAUAAUUAAUUAAUGAAUAAAAUAUUUAAAUGAACUCAGCUACCUGUUCUUCCUUUUCCUUCAUUGUCCCACAGAAAUGCCUCAUAGUGUCCUGUAUGCUUAUAUCUAUUUUGGAGGGAAAGGAAGCAUUUGCAGGUGAGAGAGCGGCAUAUGUUUUUUCGAAAACAAUUAAAGAUAGACUAACACCAUAGACAUAGAAACAAACCUACUAACUCCUCGAUAGCGGGGGGUUCUUUCUCCAAAAGCUCGCUCUGGAGCUCUAGAACGGCCUCUACGUCGAGACACCUUAACUGAAGACUUGUCCUUCAUGCCCUUUUUCUUCUCACCACUUACACUAUUACAGCUGCUUGUGGAGAUUUGUUAAAAAAUAAAAACAUUGAAAAUUAUUAUGUUAAACAAUAGAGAUGAGAUAGACCACAACCUAGCUUGUCCUGGAUGUAUUGCAUCAGUACUACUGGUUCAGUUGGAUUUUCUGGGCUUCCUUCAACAAUGCCUAUAUUAUUAACCCUCCCAGUACUCUUCUUGCCAUUCAAAUCUGUGUGAUCACUUUCCAUGGAUAGAUUAGAUCAUUUCCCAUGGUAUUAUUAUGACUUGAAUCUAGGGACUUCUGCAGAGGAUAUGUUAUUAAUAUACUACUGCUAAUUGGAGAAAUAAUUAGAACAUGCACCAUUUUUAUUUUGAGGAUCCUGAAUUGAACAUUAAUGUUCAAACAAUAAGAAAGCAAGUUUACAAAAAAGGAUCAAUUCAUUUUGGCAUAGAUGAUAAUAAUGCACGCGUCAUGGAGCGGUCAAUUAAGGUUUUCUAGUUCAUCUUCUCACAAUUGUGCUGGAAUGAUAAUGGCCCGCAUCGCGACAUAAAGGGGCAUGCAUGUCAUAUAUUAGGGGGAAUAUACUUCGGUUCCACGCAGCAAGACGUGGCACCUUGCAAUUGCUAGAACUUGUUCUAGCAUGCAUGACCAUGGAUUAGCCAGUUCCUAUUUGGAAUGUUGCAAUUUCUUGAUCGCUGCCAUUUUCUACGUACUACAUUACAAAUAGUGAUGGUAAGUAUGAUUAGACAAUCAACAUAAUGAGAAGAAAAUGAAAAAAGAGUAGGCCACAACAGUGGGAAAUCCUCUGAAGAUAUCAAACAUGGAAGCAUACUGAUCAUCAAAGGCACAGAACAAUAAAAUUUGACAAACAUAAUCAAUGGAGUCACUUGUAUUAUAGUAAUAUAUGAUCCUUCCCUAUCAAAUCAAUCAUUAACUAAACCAAAUUAAUUAAUGAAACUGUCUUUAAGUUGGAAAUAUAUAGAAGCUUAAAUUACAGAAAUGGGAUACAAAAUGUUUGCAGCUACUACAUUGAAAUUAAUUUCCAUAUAUAAGGGCACAAAACAUAGUACUGAAGAAGGUGGCCUAAAAAUAUUACCCAGUUGCACCACAGUUAUAAUCAAGCUUCUUUCAUCUUAAUUUACAAAGGAUAUCUACCAAUGAAACUAGCUAAUAUCAAAGUCUUAUAACCAUAGAUAUCAUUCACAACUCGUGAGAACUACAAAUUAAACUCACAUAAAAGCAGCUGUAAAAGCAAAAUUAAAAGAUACAUGGAUUACUGCUUACGCUUAAAGCAACCUAGCUCACAGUUGCAGCCAUGGGCAUCUCUCUUUGAUCAUCAAACAGAUACCUGAAAAAUCAAAUAUACCGACAAGAGAUUUUAAAGCAAGAGAGAGUUAUUAUAUGCUGAAGAUCAGAACCAGUAGAGAUCUGAUAUUUUUCUUCCAUAUAUAAAUCCAUGAAGCAAUAUUUGGCAAAAAAGUUAUAUUAGAAUAUCACUUGACUAGUUAGGUUUUCUAAUCAAAUAAACGAAGCUCAUAUGUUGCAGAAGAUCUAACUCAAAUAAAAACUAAGGGCAAGAUAUAUAUAUAUACAUAUGUGCAUGAUACCUUCUUGUUACUUGGAGGGAGUCCCUAUCUUUCCUCUCUUUCUUCUCUAAUUGAAAACCUCAAAAAAAGGAAAUUAAAACCCAACAAAAAAACCAAGAAAGAAAGGGGGAAAAGCCGCAGCAAGCUCUCUGGGUGGCUAUUCCAAAAGCAAAACAAGAAAAAUGGUGAUGAAAUGAGGAAGAAGAGGAUACAGGAAAGAAGAUAUCUUCACUCCAUUAGUAUCAACACAUGGCACUUGAGAGGCUUGUCAACCCCUCCUUUUUCUCUCCUUUUCUCACUCACCAGUACUCCCAUUUUGUCACAAUCUAUCUCAGUGGAUACGACUCAUUAAUCUCUUGUUUAUCUCUUCAUUCAUUUUUUGUCACAACAUAUCACAGCUUCUACACUCAUUUCUCCGUGACUUGGUGCAGUCUCUUCCAUGGAUGCAGUGGUUAAUAACUCUAGAUUUCACAAAUCAAUCAACUCAUUUCCAAACGGACCUCAGCUUGCCACGUCAUCAAAAUGGGGUCCACUCAUCCACCAACUUUGUAUAAAAGUCAAUGGUCAACGCCUAUGGGUGUUUCUUGUUAGUAUCGAUACAUGCAACCUUCUUCUUAAGUGGGGUGUAUAGAAAUGGAUUCUUCCCAAACCCUAGCUAGUCCAAUUUUAGUUGUCAUUUGGUUAUUGUAGUUUUACAUUCCAAACAGAGUCCAAGCAAUAUAUAAAACAACAUUUCAAGAUAAUCUUAAAAAACAAAAAUAAUUCUUUUAAAAUUUUUUUAUAUAGUAUAUAGUUAUGAUUACAAUUGAAUUUUUUUAAUCUAAACAAUAUAUAAAAUAAAAUUUAUUAUAAAUUAAAAUAUAAAAUUUAUUAUAUACAACUGACAUUUUCAGGACAGAAAAUAUUUUUUAAAAACCAUUUUCAUUUGUGAUGUCAACUGACCCAGAAUAAAUAGAUUGGGCCCUUGUAAAGUUCGAGCCCAAGCCUUGGAUAUAGCUCCAGCCAACCAACAUUUCUUGGGUUGAGCAACGCAAGGGCCCAAACUCGAUACCCAUUCAACCUUAACGUUGAAUUGGGCCAGUCCAAUCCAACAAAACUCACUUUCAAUCAAAUUCAGGGAAAUUGUAGAUGAUCAAGACCUACUGCAUUGAUCAUGUUCUUUAAUAAAAAAAUUUUAUACUAUGAUCACUUUCAUGAUAUCCUGGUCUCUAUCAUUCUUUCUUACUAUGAUGACAUUCUUCAUUUCUAGUCAUAUUCGUUGGACCCUCAAUCAUAUGUUUUUUUUUGUACCGUAAUCACAUAUUUCUUUUACUCAUGAUGACCCUUUUUUUUUUCCUAAUGUUUUUACAGGCCUCCAAAUGAAAUUGACCAACAGAUUUGGACUUUUGUGACAUCAAAGAUUAAUCCGGCAAAUCUCACAUCAUGUUUUCAAUUUUUUUUUCUCAACGCUCCAUACCAAAAUUCCCAGAAAAACCCAUGUUUUCACUUCCUAGACAAUGGAAUCCCACUUCACAUUUCCUGAGGUACCAGGAGUUUCUUUCACUGGGAAAGGAAAAACCCUAAAAUGGGAAUUCCGAUUCCAGGACGUAUUGGAAUGUAGUUUCCCAAUUCUUUUCUGACUAAAAAACAAAAAAUCCGUCUACAAGAAAGCAAUGUUUCUAGGGUGGCACCCAAGAGUAGUAUUGACAAGGAAAAUAUGUUGUAUUACUAUCAAUGAGAAUCCCAAAAUCAAAUUCUGCUGCAGAACACAGAAAACCAUUUCCAAACAGGUUUUCCCCGACCACCCCACUCCAACAAAAAGAGCCCUGUGGGUUCAAACCACCAUUUCCAAACAGGAAAAUUACUCCAAAAUUAGUGAAAUCAAGUUGGAUUUUUACAUAUAAGACAAGACAUUAAACUGAACUGGUUGAAGUGUGGUUUAGUGUUCAUCAGAUUGGAGCUGAUGAAUGCUCAUCUGAAGUUCCAAUGGACAACUCCAAAUCUGGGAUGUGGGGGUCUUUGAGCUGAGGGAUUGAAGUGCUCUCACAACUUCAAACAUGGUCGGCCUUUUCUCAGGCAUUACAGAGGUGCAUCUCAGGGCCAUUUCCAGAGCACCCAGCAUCUCUUGCUGUGAAGAGUUUGAAAUCUUGGGGUCAAGAACUUGGAGAGCUCCAUCGGUAAUGUUGAUUUUCCGUCUAACCCACUUCACAAUAUCAAUAGACUCUGCUGAUUCUGCUUGCUCGGCUUGCCGGCCUGUCACGAGCUCUAGCAGCACAACACCAAAGCUGUACACAUCCAUUUGUUCUGUGGCUCUCUUGCUGUAUCCAUUUUCUGCAUUUGAACAAUGAGGGUGGAUAAGAAAAUUGAGAUACAGAGAUAUAUAUACAUAUAGCAAGAAGUUUAUAGACGCCCAGAAGAUUUGUACCUGGUGCAAUGUAACAUGAGAAAGCAGAUUCUGAAGCCAUGGUCGAUUGAAAUGCAGUUUCUCCCACAAUCCGAUCCAGAGCGAAAUCCGUGAGCUUUGGUUCCAAAUCUGCAUCCAGAAGGAUGUUUUUGGACUUGAGGUUUCUGUGAAGUAUAUGUGGAACAUAGUCCUUGUGAAGAUAUGCUAAUCCUUGAGCAACCCCAAUGGCAAUCCUCAAUCUAGUACUCCAUUGAAACUGAAAAUCUGGUCUGCAUAUCAAAUCCCCCAAGCUCCCCUUCUGCAGAAACUCAUAUAUCAGAAAGAUAGAGUCACUGGAGUGGCAGAACCCCAGAAGUUUGACUAUGUUCUUAUGCCUGAUCUUGGCCAAUGUCUUUACUUCAUUCUUCAGUGAUUUUGAAGACUGGCUCCCAGGAUUGAGAAGCUUCUUGACAGCCACAAGCUCACCACUUGGUAAGCUUAUGAUGUAAACUCUACCAAAAGCUCCACCACUUCCUACCGCGCUUUUCUCAUCCAUUCCCAUGAUCAAGUCAUGCUCUGUGACUCUAAGGGGGUAGAAGAAAACUGAUCUCCAGACACCCAUUUGAGAUUUCCGCUGGGAAGUCCGAUAAAUCACAAAGAACCCAGCUGCAAUGAUCAAAAUUCCAGCACCAAGAGCCAGAGAGAUGAGGGCACAUGCUAAUUUUGUAAGACCACCAGCCUUAUGUAUGGGCUCAUCAUCAUAACAAGAAUUGGGUAAUCCUGGGCCACAAAGUUCCGGAUUUCCUUGCAGAAAUGAAGCCGGAAGGCCGGAGAUCAAAGGGAAUGGAACCUUUCCGGAGAGGUGGUUGAAGGAUACAUUAAAGAGAGCAAGUUUCAAGUUUUGAAGCUCCUGUGGAAUUGAACCAGUGAGAUUAUUAUCCGAAAGGUCAAGGUAAGUGAGCACAGGUAAUUCAGCGAGGGAUGCAGGGAUUUGCCCAACAAGACUGUUGUCCGCCAGAGACAAUGAGACUAAUUUCCGGCAUUUCUUCAACUCUGGAAUUAGACCAGAGAGCGAAUUGUGGGAGAGAUUUAUUAUACUCAUAACUGGUGAGUCACAGAAAUUUGGAGGAAGUUCACCAUAGAAGCCAUUAAGAGAUGCAGAAAAUCUAUAUAAGCUCCGGACUGACCCAAGGCCCUGAGGAAUUUUACUAGUGAAGCUGUUGUUAUCAAUCUGAACUUGCUCCAACUGAGCAGCCACUGAUAUGGAAUCCGGUAUUUCCCCAGAAAAUCUGUUGUUUUCAGCUCUAAUGAGCUUGAUUUUGGGUAAUGACCAUAACCCAUUUGGGAAAUCACCAGAAAACCCAUUGUUCUGAACUUGAAACCUCUCAAGAUUCAAGCACUCACUAAUGGAGUUGGGUAUUGAACCACUGAAGGAAUUUGUAUGGAGGCUGAGGUUUAUGAGGCCUUUUCCUCGGCAUAUGCCAGUGGGAAAUGAACCCAGAAGGUUGUUUUGUGAAACAUCAAAAGAUACCAAGUUCUUAAGAGAAGCUCCUAGUGUCUGAGGUACCCCACCAGUCAGAUUGUUCUGAGAGAGGUCCAAAAUGGUUAACCCCUGCAAGCCAGCAAAGGAUUGAGGAAUCUCACCAUAAAAACCAGAGCUUUGGAGUAGAAGCUGCUUAAGCUUCUCAAGCUUGCCAAUGCCACCAGGAAUCUCACUCACCAAAAAUCGAUUUUGAGACAAAUCAAGAACAAGAAGCUCAGUGAAAUUCCCAAAAACAGAAGGAACACUACCUGAAAGCAAGUUGCUUCCCAAGUUGAGAACUUGCAGAUUCUUCAGUGACCCUAUGGUUUCUGGGAUCUUCCCUUCAACGUGGUUUCUGCUGAAAUCAAGCGUUCUCAAUGAACCAAACUGAGAAAUUUGCUCUGGGACUGUACCCCAAAUGAGAUUGUUACUGAGAUUCAAAGUCUCCAAAGAACUGCACUGGGAGAGAUGGAGAGGAAUGGGUUGGUUGAAGAGAUUGUCAGCAAGGUUAAGGUAAGAGAGAUUGUGGAGUCCACACAGAGAAGCAGAGAUUUCCCCAGAGAGGUUCAGGCUCUGAAGGUUGAGAGAGGUGACAGAGAGAGGUGGUGUGGUGGUGCAGGUGACUCCAGUCCAGUUACAGUGGUGAGUCUCAGAAGUGUUGGACCAUGUGGAGAGAUACUUCAUGGGGUCUUCAAUGGAGGCCUUAAAUGUGAGAAGGAUCUCUGCUUCAGAUGAAGCAGAGGCCACGAUGAAGAAUGCGAAGGUCAAAGAGAAGAACAGAGGAUAUGUGCAGAAGCUAGCCAUUGGAUUUGGAAGAGACCGAGUCACUCUGAGAGAGAGAGAGUGAGAGAGAGAGAGAGGGGAGCUGGCUGGUUAUGUUGCCUCAGUCUUUUGUAUAUAUUAGUGAAGUGGGAGACUGUGACUCGCUCGGAAAGAAGAGGAGAUGUUGAUUGGUUCUAGGGCAUCUAUACAAAAUUGAUGCAGAGUCAUCAACAUCAUAAUUAGGAGAUCUUUUUUAAUAAAAGAUAGAAUUUAAGAUGGAUUGUCUUUUAGGCAAAGAAAAUUUCCUAAAUUCCAUGAUGAGAAAAUAGUGGGAAUUCCCAAAAACUCCAUAACAGUAACUUUGGAAAUCCCUAACCCAUAAUUUAGACUUGCAUUCUAAUCAAAUAUCAUCCAGGGUAUGGGAAAUAAUUACUUGUGACCUACACAUUUGUUGAUAUCCCCACAAACAAACAAACAAACAAAACACAAUCAACAACUGAUUUGAAAUGUUAUACAAAUCAAAAUGGACUAACCCAAUUUCCCUAUACCCUCAUAUUUGAUGUCAUCAUGAUUCAUGGUGGAGUUGAAGAAUUAUGGUAUUGGGUCAAGGCCACAACUUUUACCUAAAGCAAUUAAGCCAAAAAAAUGAGAAAGAAAACAGGGAAGGGAAGAGGGAAUGCACAACCCGUGAGCAUAUGUAGAGACAGAAAAGGGGGGAGAGAGAGAAAGAGGAGAAUGAAGACAAAAGUGGAUUGAAGUCUACUCCUCAUGUGGCAACGUGGGAUCUGUUUUCAACGCCCCUUCUUCUCUAACUUGUACAGAAGCUGGGUGUGUGGGGAGGAGGAUACUGUAAUAUUUACUAAUGUUGUUAGUGUUGGCUGUAGUGUAAAAUAUGGCUGCCUGAAAAUGCAGAGGAAAUGAAGGAUGGGGUGAGUGGUCACUUUCAAAGUUGAAUAGAGUUGUUUUCUACUCCCAAAAUCCUAGAAAGAUAACCCGCUUUCAACGCUGAGACGCCCCUACCAACCACGUAAAUCAAAAAGCCCAAAGGGGUCCUCUCUCCCCCCUUCUCUCAUCUCUCAUCAAUGCCUGCUAUGUUUAUUCAAUGAAUCCAAUGCUGUAAUUAUAGUGGCCCCCCCUACUUUUAAUCUUAUUCUUCUAUACUUGUUUUUCAUUUUUUGUUUUAUUCUCGUCUUUUUCAUUUUUCCUUUUUCUUUUGUUACUGCCAUGUUCUGAAUAUAAAAUUUGAAAUUAAAUUUUUUUAAAUAAUAUAAAGGGUAUAAAAAUUUAUUGGAUUUAUAUAUAUAUAUAUAUAUAUAUAUAUUAUAUUAUAUAUAUAUAAAAGAGAAUUAUUAAAAAUUAAUUAAUUAAAAGAAAUGAAAUAACUCCCAAAUUUAUGAAUUUUAACAUUUUUCAUAUUUUUAUUUAAAAAAUAAUUUAUUUUAGACAUUAAUAUUUUUUAUUAUUUUAAAUAUUUUAAAAAUGUUUAUUUUUAUAAUAAGAAAUAAUGAUAUUUUUAUCAAAAUGAAAUCAAAAAAAUGAUGAAAAGUUAAAUUUCAAAAUUUGGGUUUUGAACUAAACUUUUAACAAUAUAACUUAUUAUUAAAUAUAUUCAUUUGAGCUCUUUGCACAUACAUAUUUUUCUUGUUCUUUUUUUAAAACAAAAAAUGAAUUUGAAGAAAAAGGAAGAAAAAAAGAAAAUAAAAAUAAAAUUGAAGAAUGUGUUUAGGGUUUGAAUUAGUAAGGUUGAAAAAGAUAAGGAAAGUUUGGAUGAAGGAUUUUAAUAAUUCUUUAUAAAAGAAAUGAAUAAUUAAUAUUAAAACCAAUUUAAAAGAGACUUUUUAGGAAGAUUAGAAACAUUUCUCCAAACUUAAAAUAUUUUUCUUGUCAAAAUCUAAUAAAAUUUUAAAGAUAUAAAAUACUAUUUAAAUGAUUAUUAAAGUAAUAAUUGAUGAAUGUUGCUCUUAAAAUAAUUUUUUGUUAAUUGAUAUAUUAUUAAAAAUACUAAAAAAAAUGAUUUAUAUUCAAAAAAUAAUUAAUUAUUUAAAAAAAUAUUUACAACAAAAAGAAAUUCAUUUUUUUCUCUCUAAAUUACAAAUUUUCUUCUUUUUGGUCGAAAUGGGAUCCAAAACUGAACAAGAAAAUCAAACAAAAAAAAAGUGAACAGAGAAAAAGGUAAUAAAAAAUUAAUCAUUAAAUACUUGAAAAUUUAGGAAGCAAAAGUGAUUGUGAAAUAGGCUGUCGUCCACUGAGACAAAAUGGGAUGAGUAGUGAGUACAUUAUUCGUACAACAGUGAAAAAGUGUAGGUGAAAAUGUCAAGCUGAAGCCUGAAGCUUUCUCCAUAUGCUGACUUUUUUUUUUUCACCCCUGUUUUGACUUUUAACCGUAGAAAUAUUAAGAGUCCAGGACAGCUAUUAUUGCAGCCUUCGGCCAAAGAAAAAUAAAGAAAAUUUUAUGUCACUUCAUCUCUUAAAUGUUGUUCAGAACUCAAAUAAUUAAACAAAAUUCCAUCCCACACCCACAUGGCCCAAAAGCACAUCUAGCUUGUGCUUUUUUCAAAAAGAAAAAAAAAAAAGGCAAAAAUGAAAAAACUUUGUUUGUUGUGUUGCCUGCAUGCCAUGUUAUCCCAUUAUUCUCCACUGAAAUGGUCAACAUGUCAUUUACCCAUCAAAUAAUGAUCAAAUGUAACUGUUAGUGGUCACUUGUUGAGAAUCCAAUAGUCCCAAGAAGUGGAAUUUUAUAUGAUGGGAGUUUGUUUGGAUGGUCACUCAAGAAGAGUCAACCCUUUUCACGGAUUGAUCUUGCAGUUUGAACACAUCGAGCUGUGUUUGUAUGCCUUGGAAUGAUCAAACCCAUAUGCAAAAACCGUUUUAUAAUGUGGGUUUUUUUUUUUUUUUUUUUUGAGAAUGUGACCUAAUUGGAAGAUGUGUUCAACCCUUAAAAAUCGUCUAAAACUUUGGUGUGUAAUGGGAGUAUGGGUAUUUGAGUUGGUUGAAAUUUGGCUCAUUUGAUUUUUGUUACUUUCCAAAGGUUUCCUAAGCAUGUUCUUGGGGUUAAAACUUUAUAAAAGAGUCAACACCCCAAAUCAAGUAUUGAGAGAAAAAAAUAAAUAAACUUUAAAAUAAUGAAAGCAUCCAAGGAACCAUACAAGGAGGGAGUGUUGAGAGUUGAGAGAGAAGAAGAGAAAGAAAGGAGGCAUGGGUGUUUGUGCUAUUGUGUGUUUUGUGAGAUAUAUAUAUAUAUAUUCCCUAGAUGACAAGUCCCAACAAUGGGGAUUAUAAGAGAGGGCUUUUUGUCUUUGGAGAGCGAACCAGACAUGAGAGUGGUGGGGCUGGAUGGAAAGUGGGUGUAAUCAAAUUUCACUUAUGGCAAUGAGGAAAGCUAUAACAACAAUAAUACGCAGCAACACUAUCAAACCCACCAACACCAGUCACCACCACCCCAUGCGGCCAUGCCCCUUUCAGAGGGGACUCUUGACUCUCAGAGAGAGUGGGGUCGGUUUCUAUUCUCUUAAUUUUGCAAUCCAUGUUCCCAAUAAUCCCUUAAAGGGUCUUUUCAUUUUUUUGGGUGUGGGGCGCCAUAGCCCACCAUUUUUAUAGGGUUCUUUGGGUUUCAUGAGGUUGGCCCUUUCCCGAUUAGGCUUUACAAGAAAAGGAUGUAUAGAGUGAGGUUUCAAUUCAUAGUCUAUGCGAGGUAGGGACAACGAGUUGUGUUUUGGUUUGGACAAGUCACUCCAUCUCAUUUAUUUAAAUUUGUUCGUAUUCUUAUAAGAAAAAAAUAAAUUUAUACAUAUCUGCCCGUUUAUUUUUUUAACCUAUGUCCUUUGAAAAUACUCAUUUUGACUUCAUCUUCCACUAACCAUUCGAAACAAGUUAUUAACAAUUUCAGAAAAAUUCUGUGGGCUUUGAUAGGCAAACUGACCUAUGGGCCUGAUGCUGGACUGGCUUAUUGUUAGGGAAGGUGGAGCUUGGGCUUGUUUUUUACCCUAAAAUCUAAUAUGAUUGAUCUACGAGCUAGUUUUCUAAUUUAAAAAUUCACAGGCAAAUUUUUUAAUUACAGUAGAUUUUUAAGUAGAUCCAAAAUGUUUAAAUAAUACUUUAUAAGAAAUUGCCUUAAUAUUUGUUUUUUUAUGUCACAUUGUUAUAACUCGUUUAAAAUUACAUUAUUAUGACCAUAUUAUAUCAAAUUAUGUCAUUAUGACCUAAUAAUAUGAAUGACUAUUCCCAUAACCUAUCUCAACUAUAUACUAAGUUGGCCAAUCAUGAAAAAUGUUAAGAAUGACCAUUCCUAUAUGUGAAUUAACAAAUUCCAGAACUACAAUAAAGCAUUGGGAGAAACCAUAAAAGAAUUAAAAAGAAAAAGAAAAUACCACAUUGAAAAUGGGAAUUUUGGAAAGCUGCUCAGCCGAGGUGGUAGAGAAGUUUGAGAUGGUGAGAUGGACAUGAGUGGAAUUUGGAAACGAAAAGUCCCUCUUUAAACGUGAGGCGGAUGCCCUUUUUCUCUGCCGUCAUCCCACUCAAUAACACUCAUCCAUCGCCGACUCAUCAGUAUUAUGUGGCACUUGCAUGGUUGCCCACGAUUUUCCACCACCAAACUUGUCCAAAAUCCCCCCCUUCAUCGUCAUCAUCUCUGUUCUUACUGUGCCUGAUUGAGAUUACCACUUCCAACCUUUUCCAGUUUCCUUUGGUUUUCAUUCAGUUGUCUCGGCGACCAAACAGGAGGCAGGCUUUCACUUCAAUGCUCAAUGCUGAGAACACGGCUUUUAACAUCUUUUCAUCUCCAACUUGUAGGAAAAGCCAAAAACAAAAUUUUUAAACUCACAAGCUAAAAAUAUAUUGAAAUCACUAUGACUAUGAGAACAUUUCAAUAAGCUAUUAAUAUAUAUACACCCUCAUGCAUUUCUCACUGAAAUUAAAACUGCGGGGGGAGGUUUUUCAUCAACAGCCAUCCCUUCCAAUCUAGAACCGCUUCCAGAAGUCCAACUACGUGGAAUAAACCCAACUUUGUUUUGAACAGAAUCAAAAGAUUCAAACAAUCAGGAAGAAAAGGCAUAUUUUGGCUUCCAAUCUAAGCAUCAUUGCAAUAAUCAUUUAGAUGAUGUUUGUUUUUUUGACUUUUUGCUGAAAAUCAUUUAGUUUUAAAAUUUAGGUUGUUUGUUUUUUUAUUUUUUCAUGACUUAUUAUAAACUUUUUACUAAAUAGAAAAAGCCAAAAUAUGUGACUUUUUCUAAAUAAAAAAAAUAACACAAUGGUUUUUUUUACUUUUUAAUACUUAAUAGAAAUAAAAUACUACAAAAACAAACAACCUAAUAUUUAAUACUAUUAAGUAUUAAGGUUCUAUUUAAAAUUAAGUAAAAAAACAAACACCACCUUAGUAAGUGAACACCACCUUAGUAAGUGAGAGAGAGAGAGAGGGACAGAGAUGCUGCUUCCAAUUUGAAUGGUUCAACUAGGAAUCAAACAUUUUCACAAUAAAAAAUUUCAGUAUGAAUUUUGAUUUUGAUACUCUUUUUUUUUAAAUACAUUUAUUACCCGGGCGUCUGUGAAAUCCAGUCAAUCCAUGGCAACAUUGAUCAGGCCCUUCAGCACAUUAAGAAGGGGCAUUUCUUUAUCUUAGGAAAGAAAUGAUUCAGUAUUCACGUACCGGAACCCUGCUAGCAAAUAUACAAAGGUACUCAAGGAACAUUCCAAACUGCUUCAGGAAUAUACAUUUUUACCACAGGCAGAGAGAUCUUAUGGAAAACCAGUCAGUCAAGCACAUAUUUCAUAACACAAGUCACAAGCACAUAAAAUGCCUGCUCAGUAUAUUUUCCAACAUAAGAGAGGAAGUUGAGAAAACACAUUUGCUGUUCAAGGAAUAUUUUCGAGUAAUCACUGUGGGCCACAAGUACAUGGCUCUGGAUCCAUAUUUCAAACGCAGGUAACAAUGAAAGAUGUUGUGCCACCACCAUCACCAUACAAAUAAACCAAUAACCAUAAAGCAACAAUAUGUAUCACUCACACAACCUCACAAAAGCUUCAUUCACCAACAAUUAAUACCACACCAUAUUCAGUGGGGGCGAUGCCAUGGGAGGAAUCACACAGCUUUACAUCAGAGGGAAAAAAACAGUAGGAACUAUGGAUCAGUAUUAACAGCAAUUAAAUAUGAAGCCAUAAUCAUCAAAGAGAAGCUGCAACAAUUUACCUAAUUGGCUAAUUAACAGAUUUAGUUGAAAGCAUUUCAAACCUCCCACUUGAGUCCAUUACAUAAUUUUUUGAUUCUUAAAUCAUUAAGACACUUGGCAAACCUCUUGACCCAAAUGUUUGCAUCAGCCACCUAUUAACAUGUCACCCUUCAAAGUAUGAUUAAUAUUUAAGACAAAUAAAACACAAACUGAGAACACAAAUUGAUAUCCACAAAGUUACACUUAAAACAGGCAGAAACAAGCAGUCAUUUCCCCAUGUUUCUAUAAAUCAAAUAAUAUCUCUUGUGCACCUUCAAACUUAAACAGGCCUAAUUGAAAGAAGACAAUUUUGUUAGACCAUAAGUGCAUUUUGCCACUUACCACCCUAUUUCUAUAAUUCUCUUUCCUUGCUAAGGGUUCAUUUGGUUCUUGGAAAGGAGGGGGGAGCGCUUAAAAAUGGAUUUAAAUCUUAAAACAUUCUCUCAUUUUCAUUCUUUCUGAGAAAUAAACAAACCUAAUAGACCGAGAAGAGGGAUUUAAUGAAUUUUCCUCUUCUUCAUCCUCAAGCAGUAGUGUGUUAGAAAAUGUGAUACAUUUCAUAGCAUCAUCAAGCAGCAGUGUGUUAGAAAAUGUGAUACAUUUCAUAGCAUCAUCACCCAUUUAAUUGACGUGAAAGGCUUCCAUGAUACUCCACUUCUUUGUUCCCUACUCAUUUAAUCAGUAGUGUCCUCCUCAAUCUCAACCUUCACCAUGGGCGAGGACUCCAAGCCAAAAGAGACAAUUUCAUAGCAAUUUAAACACAGCACAAAGAACUUGGCUCUUGUAUCUGAUAUUUUUUUUCUUAGGUAAUUCUUUUUCUUUUUCCAUUUUUCUUGUCCCCAUUGGGACUUCAACUUGGAACCUCCCAUAAAACUUCCCCAACCCUUUACCACUUGAGCCAAGCCUGAAGGGCUCUUGUAUCUGAAAAUUUUAACAAACUAAUUAAUCACCAUUUUUCUACACAAGAUUAAAAUAGAGAAUCUCGAUACAAAAGAGCUUACAAGACUACUAAACUAGUGCAUUUGAUAUGAUAACAAAGCAUCAAGUAAGUGACAUUCAAUCACCCUAAAAAAGAGCAGUGUGUGAAACCUAGGAUCAGAGAACCCACAUGAAUGAUAAAACCAGAAUCUACCAAUAUAGUCCUUAAUUUUAUCUAUUAAAAAUUUCCAAUUAUACUUUACAAAUGAUCAAAAUAAAGCUAAAAUGCACAUUCUCUACCAAAAACCAAAGUCCCUUACUCCAAAUAAUAGAACCCUAGCAGGUGGAGACAGUGGACAAGGGAAGAUGCUACAACAGUCACAGGAACUUGUAGCUUUAUAAAAGUUCUUCACCCUGAAGAGAGCCUUGUAAAAAUAAUUUUGUAUCACCCAAAGCCCAAUUAAUAGUAAGAGUGCACAUUUUCCCACAUGCACCUAAGGAGGUCCUGAUCCACCCAAUACUCCCAAAACCAAAAUACAGAAAGAACUUUUGAAUGACCUAAACAGUUGAAAACAAAAAUUUUAUAAAUAUACUUCUUGAAUACUAAAAACUUGGAACAUCUGCAGAUCCUAAAAUAUCCAAUGCUUAUACAACAUCAACCAACCUGCUAUAAUUUCUGAGCAUCUGCUGAAAUAACCCACCACUCCUUGAAGAAACCUCAACCAACCAUCUUAUUUGCAUAGACCAGAUAACAGAAACCUAGAAUAAAACUAGAAAAGCCCAGUGGUGGAUGACACUUUGACUGCACAGUGGAUGUAAAAAAAAAAAAUUAACUUUGGACCAGAAUUAUUAUAUGGGACAAACAUAACAUAAAAAAUACUUGCUAAAAGGGAACAAAUAACUGGCACAUCACAUCAUCUCAAAUUCAGGUCUCUCCCCCCAUGGUUCCUAUGGAUUGCCCAGUCACGCUUUGAUUACCGUCUGAUUAGUAUAGUGCCUAUCCAUAACAGAAAAACCUUCUUAGAAUUGCAUCAGUGGAGUACCUCCAAUAAGUCUAUUAGAAGUAUCAGUGGGCAAAGAUAACAAGAUGCAUCUAUACUAGUAAAAGAUGAAUAAAUAUUCAUAAAUAAAGCCUAAAAAGGAAACAUAAAAGUGUAAUAGAGCCAAUAGAAGCAUAUACCAAAUCUACAGUCCUAGUCUGAACUGUGAUAAAGACAUCCAAAAUCCAGUAAUCCUCCAGAUGAAUACAAUAACAGGAACAAAAGAUUGAAGUAAAAACAUGUCGAUUUACAACCAGGAAAAAGAAAGAUUCACCAUUCGUAUCUUGAUGACAUGGUUCCAAAUCUAUGUUGAACACAUCAGUGAAGUAUGAAGUUAAAAAUGGACCACCACCAAGAGAAAAAAAUAAAGAAAAAAAUAUUAACACACAUAUAUGUAUUUCAUACUAAUAAAUGGGGCAAAUACCAUUUAGCAUGUACUACCAGAGAGAAUGCGUAACAAUCAGUUGAGCAAAAUACAAUGUAACCACAAAGAUGUUCAUCAAACCAGCACAAAUAAAGACUUACACACAGGAGCCAACAUACCAAUCCUCGCCAAUCAACAAGGAAUAUAGAGUUCUUUAGACUGCAAAGAUGCCCUCACUCUCACAACCUGAACCAUUUGUAUCAAUAAAGGACACCUAACAAGACAAGCAGCCAACUUAGACAAAGACACAUGGAUGACAAGAGAAGCAUUUUACUUCAGACAUAAACCAUGGUACUUAGAUUUUAUCGAGCUUUUCAGCUUUGACAACAGGGUUGGCUUUAGCAAUAGCAUCCCGUGCAGCAGUCCGGUAAUCAAAGGGGCAGUCAUGUUUGUCAGAGUAGCGAUGAACUGCACAAAAGAGGUUACCACAUUUGCAAUUGAAACCCGUUAAACCUACACGCUUUCGACAUGCGGUGCACCGAUUUGGUCCCUCCUUGACCUUGGACUCAAUGAUCUGGUUUGAGGAUGAGUCAUUGGAAGCUUCAGCAGAAAUGGCCUUCACCUCCACUGGUCCAGCUUGCACAUCCACGGUACCAGCAACAAUGGGCUCCUUUCCAUUGCCGCUAGAGCUUCCAUUCACAAUGCUUCCAAUGGAUGAUGCUGCAAGUUUGGCUUGUUCUUGCUUCAGGGCCAAGUCCUUGUGGCACUUGGAACACAUAUUCAUGGUGGCAGCACUCCCAAAGAAGCCACAGUUAUUAAUGCAAAGAAUUGGGCCUUCUGGAGCUUGGCAUCCUGUCUCAUCAUGAGACUCCAUCUUUUAACCCUCCUGCACAUCAUGAUCCCAACAUAUCCAGAUAUAAAAUGUGAGCCAAACCCAAAUACAACUAUGUAUGAACAAACAUGCAUGCAUUUCUUGCAUAAGAGCAUACAUAUUACAACUCACACCAGAUGUUAAAACUAAGACAAGAAGACAUGAAGCUGUCAAGAAUGAGCACUUGAGUAUAAAAGCAGACAAAACAUGGAUAAAGUGAUAUAAUUUUAUAAUCAUUCCCAAAUAAGUAAUGUUCACAAUUCUGAGUGGUAAUUAUAUGUUCAUCAUUUCUCCUUUCAAUUCAAGCAAAAUGAGAUCAUUUCAUGCUAGUUUCAAUACUAUGCUAAGAAAUAAUAAUAAUAACAGCAAUAACACAUGGAACAUAUUGUUUAUAGUCCAGACCCUCAACUCUAGUCUGCCAACAAAAAAAAAAUCCAAACCUUUCAUUUAAUGUAUAUAAAAAUAAAAAAGCAGGUUAGUAAUCCUGAUCUAUAACAAGAAGAAAAGGGUCCAUGGCCUCGGUCACAUCCAAUAAGAACCAAACAUGAACAAGAAGCUCGUCAUCUCAAAUAGAAAACAACAAAUCAACACAUAAAACGUAAAGAAUCCCCUUUAAGCAACAAUCUUAAUCAAAAUGGGUAAUAUUCCGAAUGUGUUGAUAAAACAUUUGGCCACAAUAUUACAAGCCAUAUCAUCGAAAAUUAACAAAGCCCAUUGACAUGAUAAAAAAUUCAGCUUCUAAAAUAACAAGCAAAAGCACAUAUAUAUAACAAGGAAAUCAUCACAAUAUUAACCAGUACAGCGGAUAUUCCAGAUGGGUUGAUUAAAAACCCUAAAUUCCCCAACCCAGCGAUGAAUUUGGCCCAAGCUGUACAAGUCAUAUCGUAUUAAAUUCAAAACAUGUAUAUCUAAUAUAUUGAACACACAUCUUCUAAUAACAUUCAAAACAUGUAUAGCUAAAUACAUCUUCCCAAACGUAUAUAAAUCGAAUUUUAAAUAUAUUUCAUACUGAUAUAUUUAAAAUUCGCAGAAGAUAGAAAAGAGGCAGGAGUAAAAACCCUAUGAGAGAGACAUAGAGAAACCCUCACCUGAUUGGUUAGGUUUGGCCGAUCUCGACUCACAAAAUCGAACCAGAAGAUGAUUCCUGGCUCAAUUUUAAAACCCUAAUUCAAUUAUUUAAAUUUAAAAGGACAAAAAAAACCGGAAUCAAAGUCAAAUCGACAUGAAGAAAUUUGAAACUGAUUUGAUGAGAUAGCAAAAGCUUAACCUAAUUGAGGAGAUAAUCGUAUAUAAAUCGGAGAAAUAGAGACCAGCAGGAGAGAGGAGGAAGGGGUAGAGAGAGAGAGGGGUUGGGUUGGGUUCGGAAAAUGUGUCCCUGGUUCUAUUUAAGACUUUACCUUUUCUUUCUGCCAACGAUCCCUUUGAACUGAGUCGGUGCUUUCUCAUUUCCUAACCUUCAUUCUCCCUUUAUUUACUCAAUUGCCCUUCCCUUGUAUUUUUUAAAUAUUGUAGAAAAAUAUUAAUAAAUAUAUAAUAAAACUUUUUGAAAAUUUGGAGGGAAAAUGUUAUAAAAAAAAAAUUAAAAAUAGAGUUAGGGAAAAAUGAGUUUCAAAUCAUUAAUUUUAACAAAUAUAAAAAAACAACUUCGACUUCUUCACUCAUUUAAAAAUAUUUUAAAAUAUUUACUCUUUUUUAUAAUCGAAUAAUUAUUUUCCAAAAAUUAUCAUUUUCCUUUAUAAUGUUAAUAACAUCGAUAGACAAAAAAACUGAAAUUAGAUUUAAUAAAAUAAAAAAAUUUAAAUAUUUAAAAAUAUAAUUAAAACUAAAAAAUAUAUAUAUAUUAACUUUCAUUUAAUUAAAAUACUCUCCCAGAUAUUAUAGAUGUCGAAAAAGAAGUAUAAAUAUAAUGGGAGUAAGUAUUUUAUUUUUUAAAAUUUUAAUUAUAUAUAUAUAUAUAUAUAUUUUAGUUUUAAUUGAAUUUUUUAUUUUUAACAUUUCUUAUUUUAUUAUUGAUAUUAAUUAACAAAAUUUUUAUUCAAUUUUAUUACAAAAAAUAUGAGAAAAUGAAGGGAUUUAUAUAAUAUAAUAUAUAAAAUCACUAUUAAUUAGGGGAUAAGAAAUAUCUUAUUUAUUACAUGAGGUCUUAGAAAAAUUUUGAUAAAUUAAAUUUGAAUAAUUUUAUUUAAUAUUAUUAAAUGGUAUUUAAGAAAAUAAUUAUUUAACUUAUAAAAAAUACAUAUAUUUUUAAAUAGAUGAAGAUUUUUUUUAUAUAUUUUAAAAAUUGUGAGUUAAAACUCACUUUUGUUAUACUUUUUCUAUUAUUUUUUAUAUAAAGAAUUAAAAUUUAUUUUCAAUUAUAUUUAAUUUUUUCACAAUAUAAAAAUGAGUAUAAUAUUUUUUUUUUUUUUAAAUCAAAUAUAGCUAAUUUUGAAACCUGCAUUUUAUUAGGCAAAAUUAUAUCUUAAUAUAAUUCAUAAUAAAAAAUAAUACAAUUUUAUGUGAAUAUAAAAUAUUUAUUUAUAGUGAUUAUUUAGGAAAAGGGCAAAUCGGGAAAAACCCAUAUAAAAUAAGCAGUUUUCUCCUGAAAAGGACAAAAUUGGGUAUAAUGUCUGUGGCAUUAUUAUUGAGGGAGAAGGAGUAAUGAUUUCACUUUUUUAAAAAUAAAAUUAUUUAACUAAUUAUUUUUAUAAAUAAAUUAUUUAUGGAAACAAAUUAUUUUUCAUAGUUUUAUAAAUAAAUGAAAAUUAUUUGUCAAAAUAAUUAUUUUUAAAUUAAAUAUAUUUCAUAAAUUUUCAAAAAUUUUAAAUAGUUUUCAUUUUUUUUUUUUUUUGGUGUGUGUAUAACAGAAGCGACAUUUCCAAUCGAAAUAUCUAUAAAUGGCAAUAUCUAAAUGGAUGAGAUAUUUGAUUAUUUUUCUUCGUAAGGUGAUAAUUUUUAAAAAAAUAUGAACAAUGGCAAGAUCAGAGCCGCUCAUCUUAACAUUUAGGGCCCACCUACAUGGACGGGCCAGAUGGAUCAAGAUCCACUAGUCGGCGGGAAAAGGGAAAGUGAAGGUAGAAAUGGCGGGAACUCAACAAAACCCUAUAAAUUGAACCCAGGUUCAUUCCAUCUUCGAACCUUCGGUCUUUCCUUAGAAAAGAGAGGAAAACCAAAAUGGGGAAGAAAAAGAAAACUAGAGUUUCUGAUAACAUCGCCGAAGAAAAAGAGUAUGUUGGUCAGUCUUCCAAAGAAGAAGAGUAUGUUAGUCAGUCUUCCACAAACGAGAGGAGCCUGUACGAGGUAUGUGAAAAUGUUUCCGAUCCCCAUUUUCAUGGUAGGAGAUUUCAUUACUUGUUGACUGGUGUUUGGGAUUUUUUUUUAAAUUUUUUUUAGGGUUUUGGAUGAUCGUCUUUCUUGAUCUGGACUUUUUUUUUUAAGAUUAUUUUAUUUUUUGUAACUGGUAAUAUCAAAAUGUAUGGUUGAAAUUUGUUAAUGAAUGAACAGAUGCAUAAGACAACUUUCCUGGGUUAGGUGCGACAGUUAGUGGUUUGAUUGCAAAAGGGGUCGAUCCAAGUGAGUAUGAGUAGCGUACACAGCUCAUAAAAGAAAGAGAAAACAUUUUAGUGAGGGCAAAUUUAAUUCGGAAAAUCCACAAUCAUAAAUUCAUUAAAUAAAAUCACGGGAUCCUAAUGACCAAAAGAAACAAGGGUUUCAGAAUGAAGUUUCUUAGGGUUUAGUGCCGUUUUGGCAGGAAGUUGUGGAACUUAUUUAAGGGAGUUUCAUUACCAACUCUUGGGAGCUGGUUUUUGAAGGUAUUCCUAUUUCGCCAAUUCUUUGUGACUGGAAAGGGGUUUUAUUUUUUAUUUUAUUUUAUUUUUAUAUUUUUUGUGUUGCAUGCGAUCCCUUCAUUUUGUAUGCUUUUUAACCCUUAAUCAAAUCCAACUCCAGCAAGGCUAUCGAUUUGUAGAAAAUCCUGGCCGGUUUGGAGUUAGGGUUUUGAAAUAGUGGAGUGGUUCAUUCAUCAAGCAAACACAAAGCAUAAAUAAUGCCUGCUUUUUUUGCAAAAUAGUAAAUGGCACACUACAGAAUUUGUUUUUAGAUGAAUAUUUUGGGGAAUUAGUCAUUUUCCAUCUAAAGGAUUAUAGGAGCUGCUUACCCUUCAAUUAUUCAAUAAUUGAAGGCCACUCAGAGUGGGAUUAACUAAGCCACAAGAAGUUGAUGUCUUGUGGUAACUAUUAUUCUGUGGAAGGCAAUUGCAGUGCUUUGAUUAUGGAUUAAGAAUUUUAGCAAAGUGGACAGCUGGUCUUUCCAAUACCUUGGUUGGACUCCUUUUCUGGAUUCCUGGGACAGAAUCUCUCCCAAUGUGGGCUGAUCUUGCUUGUAGGUUGCCAUAGGUGGUUAGAUGCUGCCUUCCAGUUUUGGUGUUGCUUUCAUUUGACCUUUGCAUGGCUAUGCGUAUUUGUUCCUAUCUUCUGAUGCAAAUUAUUCUCAUUGGAAUCAUGUCUCCGUUCCCUGCAAGGGGGGGAAAAUGCCUGCUGUGAAACAUGCCAUUUAUUGUGGUUGCUGAUUAGAUUCAAUGGUGUCGUUGUUUUGCAUGGUUCCAGACAUUUAUCUGGUGACACUGAUUUACCCUGGACUGAGAGCAAUAAAAUAUCCCAUGCUGUUGAUCCAAGUGGAGGGCAUUUUACAGAAAAUCUUCUCACAUGGUACUUGGACAGAGCACUUGAAUGUGUUCUCUUGCAGAGGAUAUUUCUUCUUGCAUUGCCUGUUUGUCUAUGCCUUUCCAUUCUUAAAUGAUAAAGGGUACAAGCUUCAAAAGGGUUGCUUUGGCCCUGUUUAGAAAGGAUUUUUAUUUUUUGGAAGGGGUGGGGAUGUGUGGGUGUUAUGAUGUAUGAUGAGAAAACAAGAGCUUCUAGAAGGUAAAUCCAGUUUCAACUCUUGAAAUUCUUUAGGCUUAAAUCCUGAUUCAUUUCAAGCUCUCUAGUUCUAUAUUUUGGAGUUAAAUUGGUAUAAUUAGCCUUUGAUUGGUAUUUUGAUAAUUCUAGUUUAAAUCCCUUGUAUCAAAUGCCAAAUUAUGAUCAGCAGAGUAGUUCCUGCAUGUCUACCCUUGUUUAGAUCAAUUUCAUAUAUGGCUUAACAUGUUUAAUCUCACUCUAGCAAAUAAUUAUUAUUUUUUUUAUAAGCAAAAAUGCAUAUAAAUUAAAACAUGCCAAAAGGAUGCACCACAGUACACAGGAUGUAUACAAAUAUUGCCUAAAAGCACAAGAAACAAGAGAGAACACAAAAAACAAUACCCUCUCUUAACAAGAAACUAACCAUUCUACAAAAUCUAUGUCUAUGUAUAUCUUUACCCAAUUAAACAAAUUACUAAAUAUUGAUCCAAAGGCUCUUUUCCUUCCAAACAGUUCAAAAAAUAGACAAAGGAGCUGCUCUCCAAACCUUAUUAUCCCUUUUACCUGCAAAGGAACUAGGCCAUCCCAGGAGAGCCUCCUUAACGAUAGCAACUUCCACCCAUUGGAUUCUGAAAAGAGCAAACAGCACCUGCCAAAGGACCCUGUCUUAGCACAUAGUAAUGAUCUUAUGACUGUUGUAAAUCUAUUGUGGUUUGAGGCUAAGUUGCUGAUUUUAAUUUCUCAUCUGCGAUUCCUUAUCUCAAGUUUCAUAUCCAAGCUCCAUGUUACUCCCUUUUUUAAUGUGGAAUCAGUAGGUUAGUGUUCUUGAUUUUACUGGGUCUUUAGAAGAUUGUUUUGGCUUGGUUUAGUUUUCAUGUUUGUCUUUUCUAAUAGCUGCUAUUCUUUGUUUGGUUCUACCAUCAAGAAUCCUUGGGAAGAUGAUGUUGAUGCAUGAAAGUUAACUACACUACAUUAAAAACAUAAUUAAAGGGAUUUUCUUGCUAUGAAUUAUCAGAAUAAAGCUGUCUUUGACUUCUAAUUAACAUGAUAAUGGUUGUUUGGUGCUUGGUCCUCAUUUAUUUGUCUUCCUUUAUUCGAUGUCCCCCUGUUUACUUUAAUAGACUUGAUUGCAAUGAGUUGCAUGUUCAAAUUUCAUUUCAUAUUUUGUAAAAGAUCUCCCUGUUCUCCCAUUCUCCCUCUUCUUGGUUUACUGAUGUACUUUUUUUUUAUUACAAUAAAAUUUCAAGUGGAGCAAGAGAUGCUGAAUAAUAACCUUGUGUCUUACAGGUUCUUGGUGUGGAAAAGACGGCAUCUCAGCAGGAAAUUAAGAAAGCUUACUAUAAGUUGGCAUUGCGGCUCCAUCCUGAUAAAAAUCCUGGUGAUGAGGUGCAUUUGAUUUCUAAUGAUGCCAAAAUCCUAUUCUCCAUAUAUCCGUUGCAAGGGUGGUUUUCUGGUUGUUACCCUUUGUUUUUUUCCCUCAUGUAGGAAGCCAAGGAAAAAUUUCAGCAACUACAAAAGGUGAUAUCAAUUCUUGGUGAUGAAGAGAAAAGGGCACUCUAUGAUCAGACUGGUUGUGUUGAUGAUGCUGUAAGUGAAUAUGAAAACCUUUUGUUUUGUAUGUUCUUUUUUAAUGGCAUUUGAGGGCACAAAUGUGUCCAUAAGAAUUGAUGAUAUCUAUUGAUCAGGAAGUGUGCAUCUUAUUUCUCAAUUUUUUUAUGAUCAGGACCUUGCUGGUGAAGUUGUUCAGAAUUUGCAUGAGUUUUUCAGAACCAUGUACAAAAAGGUCAUAUCAUUUUGCCUUAUUAUGGAAAAUUUCUGAUUUCACGUAAUCCUCCUAUUUAUUUUCAGACUGGAAAGAUGACAUGUGAACACUUGCAUUGGUAGCAGGUUACUGAGGCAGAUAUUGAAGAGUUUGAAGCAAACUACAGAGGAUCUGAUUCAGAGAAGAAUGAUUUGAUUGACCUGUACAAAAAGUGCAAGGGUAAUAUGAACAGGUACAAUAGCAAAUGUGUUUCCCUUCUUUUUUUUUUUUUAGGCUUGCCGGAUCAGCCUCUAAUCUGCUUUCCUUCUCAGGCUUUUCUGUUCAAUGCUUUGUUCUGACCCUAAGCUGGAUUCACACCGAUUCAAGGAUAUUCUUGAUGAGGCAAUAUCAGCAGGUAAGGGUUCUACUAGCUUUCUUUUUGUUUUUUUCCCUUCCUGAGAUAAGUUGUCUGAUAUUUAGCCAUUCUAUUUUCUUGGAAUUAGUGAAAACCCCUAAUGUGAGGCCUCAGAACUAGCUAUAAACUAAUAAGUAGAAAAUAAGCAUAUGAUAAAAAUCAGAAAAUAAAGAUCUGAUGACCCAUUGGCCCCACCCUAUAGGUCCACAUAGAAAAAUAACAUGGUGAAAUCAUUGUUAUUAUCUUCUUUGUUGGGGACCCAUUUAAGUUGUUGGCCUGUACUACUUGACUGUUGUUUUGUUUAAGAAACCAUAUUUAUAGCCAUGCUUCACAUGUACAUUGCUGACCAUGCACAGCAUAUUCUGCCACAAUUACACUUAAUCAUUCUCUUUUUCACAUAGGAGAGCUGAAGGCAACCAAAGUCUACCAGAAAUGGGCAAAACAAGUGUCUGAAGCAAAACCACCUACUAGUCCUUUAAGGAAGAGAGGAAAGUGAGUCAUCUCAACUUCAGAGUUGUGUUUUCAUGCUUACAGUAGUUUUAACUUUUAUGACCCCUGGAUGAAUAAUAUGCCUUUGACAGAUCAAAUAAAGAGUCAGAAUCAGAUCUAUUAGCAAUUAUAUCUCAGCGCAGAAGUGAAAGGAAAGACCGUUUUGAUUCAAUGUUCUCAUCUCUGGUGUCUAAAUAUGGUGGGAGUGGACAAGUUUCAGAACCCACUGAAGAAGAAUUUGAGGCCACACAAAGAAAGUUAGAGAGCCUCAAGGCAUCCAAAAAGUCCAAGCGGAAGUAACUGAACAACUCAAUAGAAUUUCUGUGUACAAAUUUUGUUUGCCUGUGAGCAUUUUGUGGUUUCCUUAUUCUUGGUACUUAUAUAUAGCUUUCGGAUUGUAUGAUUAUUGUAAACUGUCUUUUCUUAAGGAUUUUGGAUGAUUUCUCCUUUGAUUAGAUGGUCUGUAUGUCAGGUUACACGAAAAUAGAUUGAAUAACAAGACAAAACCAACAAAAAGUGAAGUAGAAUUGCAUUGCAUUGAAGAACCGUGGCAUUAAAAGGAGUGUAGGCCAUAUGAUAAUGUUAAAAUGAUAUUGUGGUAAGACAGGAAAAUAUAGAUUUAGAAAUGACCUGCAUUUGUGGAAGUUUGAAGUAGCACUAAUAUUGGACAGGGGAAAGUUGAUUAAGCUGGUUUAAUGAUACGCAUUAAGAACCAAUUAUUGCACCAAUUGAGGUGUGGUCCAUGGUGAUCUGCUUUUUAGGAGAUUGAUGAAACGGAGCUGUAAUUUGGGCGGCUGUCAUAUGAUUAUGUACAACCUCUAUAGAUGGCCCUCUUGCAACCAAAAUCAGGUGGCAUCAAAUAAAACUUAUCCAUUGGAAUGAGCUAUGAGCUAUGAGCUUGGGCAGAGAAGAAGUAAUGACUAAAGACCAUUUUUUUCGCAGAUUUGUUUGCAUUCUUUGCCCUCUAACCCAAAAUGAAGCUAGAAAGAAAGGCCGAAAAGUGAACAAAAUGCUUUACCCAAAACUCAUGCCUAACAAGGAAGAAAUUCUCAAAUUGAUCCAUUAGGUCUUCAGCAGUGUUACAAUUCUGUCCUCUACCCGCUUAGGACAUAAUGAAAACAACUUCACCUAUGGCAUGCUUAGAUGAAUGUUAUGUGAAGUGUAGGCGGAUGGACCAUUUGGUCUCCCUCCCUGUUUGUUUGCACUUUUUGAUGCAUCUGGGUCAAAUCACCAAGAAAAGCAUUAGGAUCCAAAACUUAUAUCAUCUUCCUUCGGCUUUGCUUGCUGCAUGUGUUCCAACAUCCAUGCCCUCUGCUUUAAUUUCUUUUCUAUUUCCUACCAAACAUGUUUACAAUAAGUAUGUCACAUUCUGAUAAUUUGGGGAAAGUAUAUAAUCUUUCAGCAUUCAGCUUGCCAAAUCAAGGCUAGUUCUUUUAAUACAGAAAGAUUUGCAUCAGACCCAUCUUUCACAACUAAAACAUGACCACUACUUACAAUAGUUACCUCUUACCUUAUUAUUACUUAGAGCAGAAGUAAAGAUUAGGAGUUCUUAUGAAUUGGGUAUCUAUUUCCUUAAUAAAAUGACUGUUGUACAGCAAGUUUGGAUGCUCAACUGGCAGUUUCCAUAUUGGGGCCCUAUGUACCUCAAAAAAGAUUCCUUUACAAUUGAAAAUGGAUAGCACAUACACCAAAAGUCUCAUUGACGAAGGGAGGUGGAUGAUGACAAGGAGUUGGUGGUCUAGCUUAAACCAUCAGGCAGUUCAACCACAGCAUAAUUUCAGCUAUUGCCCACCAUUUGGAUGAGCUGAUGAGGGUCAGGUAUGCUUUUCACCUUUCUACUCAGUUCCCUUUUUUCCAAUGCAUUAGGUUUAUAUGCUCAUUUAGUAAAGGUUUUGACAGUUGAUGGUGGGAAAAUUUGAGUCAACUCAAUUGAAUUUGUGGCAAAAAGUAAAUAAAAUUGCCCACAAUUUGCAUAUUCAGAAGCAUGAUUACACCCAAAGAUGGGAAAUCAUGAAGUGUUUCGGUGUGUGAAAAAGGUUUAAGGUACCCAUGAUUCCAUAAUGGGUGUGGCUGGCCAGCACAUCACAGCGCAAACCAAAUGACUUUGUGGGCAGAUCCUAGCAAUUGGGGUAAGUCUAAAAUUGGAUGAGAGCUUCAGUUGGAGGAUGGUGACAUCACAACUGCAUGCUGUGAAAGAAUUCCCCUGGUCUUCAUGAUCCUCCAUGAAUCUGCAAAUGCAAGCAAAGCUUUGCCUCUUCUCUAGUCUUCCAUGCCUGUCACUGAAAUAACUUUUUUGCCUUUACUCUCUCUCCCCCUCUCCCUCUCUGGGGUAGAUAAUCAACUUUUCAAUUAAGUAUCAUACUUGGUAAAUAAUCACCUUUUGAAUUAAGUAUUGCAUUUGAGCUUUGUUGCUUUUCUUGGGUUUUCCCUUCCAUCUGUCUCUGUCUCUCUCUCUAUCUAUCUCUAUUUUUGUUGGCCAGUAAUCGCCUUUUCAAUUAUUAUAUUAGUGCUAUGUCGCUUUUACUUGAGUUUGUCUUCCCACCUUUUUCUCAUUUAUGUUGUAAUUAAUAUCAUUUACUGUGGAAUUAAGCUUUACUCAAGUUCGUCUCUUCCUACCUAUAAGACCCCUCAAGGUUUCUGGAACUUCAUUAGUCUCAAGAGUCAUCCCUUGGAACCUUUUACGCCCGUAAUUGUUGCUCCAUGCACUCAAAUUUCCCUUUUCUGUUUAUUUUUGCUACAGAAUUGUCAUCCAAUUGUGAGAUUUCUGAAGUAGAUCCAAAUUGCAGACACUUAGGUUUACUGCUCGAGCUGGACUUUACCUCUCUGUGAUUCUUUUGCUUUUCUUGAAGGUCUUCAUGGAGACGGAGGAAAGUGAUACGAGGCUGAAAAUGGAAGAUUAUGAAGUUAUAGAGCAAAUUGGAAGAGGAGCAUUCGGUUCUGCCUUUCUUGUUCUCAACAAGACUGAGAAAAAGAAGUAAGAUGAUUAAUACCCUACCAUGUUUGUCUCGGUUUUGUUCUUUUCUCUACCUCGGUGGAUCUCAGAAUUAUGUGAAUUUUUAAUGAGAUUUGACUACCCAUCUUCUUUUUCUAUCCUUUCCUGUACAGUCCAUUCCUUAGAUGAUGAUUUUUCAAGGAACAAUGGAGGAAAAUCAAAAUUCUGUGUUCAAUCACAGAAAUUAUCUUCAAUAAAAACACAAUCGUUUUCUCAAAGCUGUAAAUUCAGAUUCCACUUUGUUUGAUUGUGUGUUUUUCUGUUUAAUAGAUAUGUUCUAAAGAAGAUUCGUGUGGCUAAGCAAACAGAGAAGUUCAAGCGUACAGCACACCAAGAGGUCACCUCGACUAAACCCUUUUAAUAUGUUUUCUAUAUCUUCCUUUUGAGCAUUGGAUUCAGCAUCUUUUCAUACCGUCUACCUGUAUUGCUUUAGGCAUUAUACAUGAAUUCAAUGCUUGUUUUCUGCUUACCUAACUCAAUCUUAGUCUCGAUCGAAUCAUCCCCAGUGCAUUAAUAGGAAACAGCUGCAAAUAUAAGAAUGCAAUACGUAGGAAAUCAUCACAAACUAUGAAAAAGGACCCAAGCAUGUAACUAAUCCUUGAUGGUGCCCUUUUCGCAGCAAACAAACUUCUUAUCACUUGCUACUUGAAUAUGUUCAUAAUUGAUUGAUAUUAGAUAUUCUCAUUUACAAUAAUUGUAGAUGGAGCUGAUUGCCAGACUAGAUAACCCAUAUAUAGUGGAAUACAAGGAUGCUUGGGUGGACAAGGUAAGUGCAUGAUGUCUUUGUGUUUAGUUGCUUUUGGAAUUUAAACAACAUAAAGCAUUUUGUAGCAUGGAAAAUUGUCGCUAUUUCAGCUAUUUUUAGUCCGAUACAAAUGGGUGUUUUGCUUUAUAUUUGGCAGGGAUGCUCUGUAUGCAUUGUGACUGGCUACUGUGAAGGAGGCGACAUGUAAGUAAUCACCAUCUCUUUGAGCUGUCAAUGGCACAAAUGGGAUAUAAUGGACCCACUUCUCAGAGAUAAAGCAGCACUUUCAAAUGAUUGACUAAGCCAAACCACCCACCCUACUUCAAUUCUUCCCACCUUCAACUCAAUAUAUCAGGAUAAACAUGUCUGACAACUAAAAUAUGCCUUAAAUAGUCUGUUAGAAUGAAAAACUAAUGUUUUUGGAUGAAUAGGGCUGGGGCCAUAAAGAAGGCCAGAGGAGCAUUGUUUCCAGAGGAGGUAAACAGAAAGUUCCUUUCUGAAAUCAAAAUCCUAUAUAUGUACCUACAUGAUGCUCAUAUUCUACAUGGCUCUUUUUUUUGGCUCCUUAGAAGCUCUGCAAGUGGCUGACUCAGUUGUUGCUAGCAGUGGACUAUCUGCAUUCAAACCGUGUCCUUCAUAGAGAUCUUAAGGUACAAAUAUACACUAAUUCCUGAAUAAAAUUGAUUAAAACAGCACUGUCAGUGACAGAGUAACAAUAAUGUUGCUUAAUUUCAGUGUUCCAACAUAUUCCUCACAAAGGAGAGCGACAUCCGGCUUGGUAAGAAGACAAAAGUCUCGCUGAAAGAGAGGGAAUUUUUUCUGCAUCAAGUUUGGGUUCCCUUGUCUUGACGUCUUAUGAGAAAUAUUUAUCUUUAAUGGAAUAUACAGGUGAUUUUGGACUUGCAAAAUUGCUCAGCACGGAAGACCUUGCUUCCUCGGUAGGUACCUGUUUAUCCACCUAAAAUGUUGUUCUUAUGCUUCAUGUCAAUGUCUUGACAUGCAAACUCUACCAACUUGGAACUGUUCCAAACUCCAUAUGGAUCCAUCACUGCACCCAAACAUGGUAUUUUCCUAAUCUAGUUGUUCACUUCAACCUAUUUUCAACAUCAUCUGUAAUUUAUAUAGGUUGUGGGUACUCCCAACUACAUGUGUCCUGAGCUUCUAGCAGAUAUACCUUAUGGAUACAAAUCUGAUAUAUGGUCACUAGGUAAGAAACCCAAAAACAUAGUUCUCAUUUUUAUGCUGUUCCGUUGAUGAUUCUGUUAUGAAUAACAUGCUUCCACUACUUCAGGUUGCUGCAUGUUUGAAAUUGCUGCACAUCAACCAGCAUUCAGAGCCCCUGUAAGUUUAAGCAUGAGCCAUAUUUUAUGGCGUCAAAUCACUUGGCCACAGUUGGAGCAUAUGAAAUUUACUCACAGCAUGAACUUCAUGGUAACAUAAAAUCUAUUCAUAACUCUUUCUAUCAAUCAGGAUAUGGCUGGACUAAUCAACAAGAUAAACAGAUCCUCCAUUUCUCCUCUCCCAAUUGUAUAUUCCUCCACAUUGUAAGUAUUUUCUUCUCUGAAAAAGAUCAAUCAAAUAAGUUUCUCUUAGUAAAUACUGAAAAUGUCUAUAGCAAUCAUGUAUGAUGUGCCUUUCUUGUCAAUCCUGCAACUGAGUUUACAGGAAACAGAUUAUCAAGAGUAUGCUGCGGAAGAAUCCAGAACACAGGCCAACUGUGAGUUCAAGUAGCCUGUAGCCCUAGCCCCACCCUUGCAUAUAAUCAAUUUUAACACCAUCCAUUCUCUUACUGGCGCAUUUUAAAUUUCAGGCUGCAGAAUUGUUAAGGCAUCCUCAUUUACAACCAUACCUGGUCCGCUGCCGCAACACAUCAUCCAUCUUUCUUCCUGUAAAGUCUGAGCACAUUUCAAAGGAUAAAACACCGAGAAAACCAUCACCUAUCAAACAUAGUGCUGGAAAGGACAAUAGAGACAAAGAGGGAAGAGUACUCAAAAUGGCGGGUAGUGUUGAGCCAUUGGAGGAAAAUGCAAAUGUUCAGCCAAGGAAUCUACAGAACAAAGCAAAGCCAACACCCAUAGUUCAAACUGAAGAAAACCUAGAGACCAAGAGAGUGGAUCCUACAAGCUAUCCUGAGGAAGUAUCCAAUGCUGUUGAGAGUUCAAAAGGUGGGUCUACAAGCUGUGCCACAACCAUUACCAAUGAAGAUGAGCAGGUGAACGGUAUCCUUUUAGCACAGAAGGAAAGCCUUGACACCGAAACUUCUACCGGGAGUACACCAAAUUCUCAGCCUGGAGAUGAAAAAGAACAAGACGAAUCAGAAUCCGCUCCCAAACAUUUUGCGCAAAUUCAAGAUGGUGAUAUCAAGAAUGUAACCUCAGAGGAUGAUGCAAUGGAAUCCAACACACAAGUUCCUGCAGGGGCUGAAACAGAGAGCAAGAGUCUUCAGCCUGGAAAUCAUGGGGCAAUGGCAACAUCCAGUGCCAACUCUACAGAUAAAGGUGGCUCUCUUGAUGAUGAAUCAUCAAAUUCAUCAUCAGCCACACAAGGUAUUGAAUAUGAACCUAAUGCAGAACCCAGUUGCUGUCUACAGAAAAUGGAAAGCCCCGAUUCCCAGGCAGAAGGCGGGGCUCAAAUUGACUACAUCUCAUCAGAAAGCAACGACAUACUCCCAUGUAAGGAUGAAGCAGGAGCAAAAACAGACAAUACUAGUUGCUCCAUGGUAAUGGCGAAAGACGAUAUGAAUACGAUGAAUAAAGCUCCAAGCGAAGUUUCAUUGCUGAGCACACUGACUGCAGUUGGUGGAGAUGAAACUAAAGGCGAAUGGGAUAACCCGAGCCAGCAGAGGGCCGACGCGCUAGAGUCCCUGCUUGAGCUAUGUGCACGGCUGCUUCAACAGGACAAACUGGAAGAGCUUGCUGGUGUGCUGAAACCUUUCGGAGAAGAAGCUGUCUCGUCCAGAGAAACUGCAAUUUGGUUGACAAAGAGCCUCAUGACUGCACAAAAAUUUCUUGGAGGAGCCUAAUUUAUCAACAACUGAGAUGGUUUGAAUUUUUUCAAUAAAUUAUUGUAAAGGAAAAUGGCCUUCUGUUAACUAUGUUUCUUCCAAAAUGUUUGCUUGAUUCUCACAUAUUAUCCUGUCCUAUCCUCCACAUGAGCUCACCCCACCUGACUAUGUCAUAAAAAUUUGUUUGUGUAAUCUCCAUUUCUGUCUGUUGUGUAAUCGUUUGCAGCAUGGAUUAAAGCUUUCUGAAAUUGAUUAUAUAUAAUCUUGUCUGGGAUCAGUCUAGGUGAUGAGAAAAAUGGGAAUCCUGAGAAACCCAUAUAGCAAAAUCCUUGUUUUAUUUCAAUGUAUCAUAGAAAAGUAUCCAGACUAACAAACACAUGAUACCAACAGAAUUCAAGAAACAUAGUGAUAAAAAAGUUCAACCACCAUUCUCUUCUCUAAUCAUUCCUCUCUCUCCUUUCCAUGUCUUCUCUUCUGAGCUGAGAGUUCAGUGCAAGUAGAAGGCGAAGAAUGAGAGGACGGAGGCUCCGACCAACGACCCCAGAACAGGCAAAGUUGCUUGGGCAGCAUUGGAUGGUCCUGGUGCGGGAGACAUGACCUCAUCUGAAGCCAUGGCGGCGCUCAUGGAGGCGGCAGCGAUGAGAACAGCGCAUGAGAUCUUCUUCAUGUCCAUGAUGAUAUUGAAUUCUGAAUUUGUUGUUAAUUUAGAGUUUGGAAAAUAAAAGGAUUUGAGAGAAUUUGCAGAGACCCGCCUCGGUGACUAAUAAAUUUUUGGAGCAGGUCUGAAGAAAAAUGAAGGUGGUGGAGAGGAUUUUAUAGGGAGAAAUUUGUGCUAUUUUUAGGGUAGAAGAAGCUGUUUGUUAGAGGUGCUAUGUUUAGUAGGUUUUGCAAGGAGUUAGUGGCUUAUGUUAGUGGGUCAAUAUGGAUGGUUCCUAGUGGUAUCAAUGGUUUGACCAUUUCAAACGCCUAGGGAAAUAACGAAUGGUACCAAUUUUUUAAUGUAGAACUAUAAAUUUUGAAAUACAAACAUUUAGGAUUAAGUAAAAAAAUAUAUAUAAAGUAAUAAAAUCAAAAUAAAAAGCAAUGAAAUAAAAUAUAAAAUAAUAAUUACACAUAUUACAUAUAAUAUAAUGAUAUUAUUGAUUAAGGGUGAUAAACUUCAAUAUAAUUCGUUAACACAGAUUCAAACCUAAUACAUUUUUCACAAAUUUGGAUUGAGUAUAAUCAUGUUUGAAUAUAAUUUAUAAGGUAUGGCCUAAAGUAUCAUCAUUGUUACAAAGACGAGAUAAGGUGACAGAUACUUCUUUGAAGUGAACGAGUUGUUCCAAUCUAGCACGUAGAAUAGAUAUCGGAAAGAUAAGACAAUUCUUAUAGGGCAAAGGAAUACAUAAAGAUAAAUCUUCAUCCAUGUGCAUGGAAAUAACUACAAGAGGGUUUGGUCUAGAUAAAUAGGUUGUUAUAUCUAGAGUUUGACCUCGGCUAUCAAAAUGCAAUAGUUGGCCUAUAAUUGGAUCAAAGAAUACCUUAAGAUUCAAUGAUUGCAGAUAAUAUAAUUAAUUUAACUAUAAUUGUAAUGUAUUUAACCCAUUCAUUUCAAGCUUACAUUUAAAUAAAUAAGUUAAAUUAAAUCAUUAAAAAUGUGACGUUAGGAGGCUAAUCACAUAGACUUAUAAAAAAUCUAAAUCAACUUAAUUAUUAAACAAGAUAACCUAAUUAUUAUUAAAUAGGUUAAAUGGAUAACAUGAUAUAUUACUUAUUUAAUUAUGUCAUAUUUGAUUUUAUAUUUUUAAUUUAAUUAUUAUUUAGGUUGUGGUAUUUAGAAAAACGCUUUAAACUUUACUCAUCAUAGAUACAAACCACCGAAACUAAUUUCCACUCUGCUGUUAAUGCAUAUAUAUCGACGUUUAAAAAAGUAGUGGUCAUUAUUUGAAGGGCUUCAUCUGGAAACCAAGAAUAGAUAAUUUUAAUACAAGAUUGAAAUGGGUUUUCAAAAAUUAAAAGUUACUUGGACCUAGAAAGUCUUAUAGGAAGGAAAAUGAUAUCUCACAAUUAUGAUAAUGCGAAGACCAUGGAAGAGAUGAGUAAAAAAGUUUCUAAUCCAUAUCCUCGUAAGAAUAUUGAGAAUGUUUCGACAAUUUUUAUAUUAUGCAUUAAGUGUAUAAUAUGUUUAUGAAAAGCAAGUAAAAAAAUAUAUAUUUUUGAGGUAAAAUAGAAUUAAUUAGUAAUUAUUUUCAAAUUUUGAAAAUUAAUUUUGAACCUAUUGCCAAAAAUAACCCUACCUCUCCACAUUACUUGGUAUCCCAGGCCCAGCCCCCUGAAUUAUUGAAAACUAAUGAGUGAUGAGUGAUGUCUGAAUUCAAAGGAUGUGGCGGUUGAAGUGAAAGCCACCCCCUCUCUGCUUUGGCCCACGAUGACCAGAAAAUUAUCAUUUCUGACAGCUUAACGGCUAGUUUUCCUUUCCAUUUUAUAACGCCACCUCACCUAAUUUCACCUUCGUCGUGGACAUGCCACCUCGCAAUGCAUCCUACGCCUUCCCCCCUUCUACACCCAUCAUUUUUUUUAUUCCUCUAAAAAUAAAUCACAUAAAAAAUUUAAAUCUCUCCUAAAAUUUUUAAAAAUAAUAAAUGAAAAAUAAUGAAGAAAAUAUUUAAUAAAAUUCCAAAUUAAUGAAAAUUCAAUGUAUUUAAUUAAAAUCUAAGAAAUUUUUAGUCCAAAAUAAUAAUAAUUAAAAGUAUUUUUGACAAUAAAACAAAAAAUUAUUUUCAAACAGAUCCGGCCCUCUCAUUCCACGUGUUUAAACGACUAAUAUACCCUAAUACCCCUCACCCAAAUCGAGGUAGAUCUCAGUGAUUUGAUGUGACGCGGACUACGAAACGAUUCGUGUUCCGAAUCCAACGGACGCCAUUGCAUCUACGCCACGCCAACCCUCGCGAUGAGAACAUCGGGGAAAGUACACUGCAUCGUAAACCACAAAAAGCUUCCGAAAAGCCCAAUAAAUCACUGCCACGUAUGAGUACAGCCACGUGUUAUCAUAUCAUUACAAAUGUCGAAUUCAACGUUUGUGGCUUUGGGCCAUUCUGGGCCCCAACGUUUCGGACCCGAUACCGAACUGUCUCUCGCCGCGGGCCCACCGUAGUAGUAUCCCAAAAGGCAUAACAAAGCAAUAAAAAUGAGGAUUUAAAUCCCAAUAUUUCUCUAUAAAUUCAAUCUCUCCGGCAUCGAGCCAAACACACCUCACUUCUUUUCACAGAACAUCCUGCAUAGCAUUCAAUACAGUAUUCAACAGAAUGCAUCCCGCCACUUUCGCUGCAAUCCACAUAAUGAUGAUCGCAUUUCUAGUGUUCGCGUUCGGAUCUCCGGUUACGGCACAGGACGCCAUAGCGCCUUCACCGGAAAUGGACACCGGAGCUGCUUUUGCGCUGCCGGUUUCUGGUAUUUUGGUUGUUUCUUCUGUUAUAAUAUCUCUGAGCAGGGCUUUGUGGUGGUGAAUUUCGAAGUUUUGGUACGUUGUCUGUAACUAUGCCUCUGUUGCUGAGUAUUGUGUGGAUGUGUGGUGAAGGUAAAAGAGGCUUUGUGCGAUGUUUUUAUGUUUCUGGUGGAGAGGAGGAGAGAUGUGAUUAUGAUUUUGCAAUUGAUGUGAUUUUAUGAAUGAUAAAUAAAUUCACAUUAAUUAAUUCUUUUUUUUUUUCUCUGUUCUGUUAUCAAAGUUCUUCCAAAAUAAAUAAAAAAUAAAUUCUAAUUAAAAAAAACACACUUACACACAAAAAAGUUAUAUAUUAAAAAAAUUAAAAUUAAAAGCAGUUUCUUUAUAAGCCAAACUAAGCUGUGUACCGGCUUUAAGAUGUUGUUGGCUUUUCUUAAAUGUGAAUUUUCAGGAUCGAGAUAUUUAGAUUGUCAUCAAAUCAAGUGGAUCUUCUGUAAAUCCUAAUCGAAAAUAUAUAAUUAAGAAAAAUUCAUAUUUAUAUAUUCUUAAAA
rnacentral:lncRNA from 1 species